AAAAUGAAACCCUAACCUUUCCGAAUUUCAUGUGCCAGAAGCCAACCGAUCGACAAAAUGCAAGUCCAAAUCCUUGAAACCAAACUUAUCCAACCCUCUACACCACCCUUUCUCGAUCAAGAACAGGUCCUCCCUCUCUCGCACCUCGACACCGAUCCUAAUCUCAACAUCACGUUCCGUUACCUCCGUGUGUAUGUAAAUGCCGACCAAACGAAGCGCGCCCACGAUACACCGUACCAUGUCAUUGCUAGAGCGUUCUCUGGUGCACUUUGUUACUACUACCCUCUAUGCGGCACGCUUCGUCCUGGCGAUCAUCACCGCCUCAAGCUACAUUGUGUUGCCGGCCAAGGCGUGCCGCUUGUUCACGCCACCGCCAAUUGCACUCUCCAUGCGGUUAAAAACCUUGAUGACGCGGACUCGGGUUUCUUGGAGUAGCUGAUACCCAACCCGGAUCCGGAGGAGAGUUUGGCCAACCCGUGUGUGCUCCAAGUCACAAUGUUCGAAUGCGGGGGGUUCAGCUUAGGUACCGCCAUACACCACGCCAUGUGCGACGGGCUCGGGGCGACCCUAUUCUUUGGGGCAGCGGCGGAGCUAGCUCGUGGGGCGGAGCGAGUUUCCAUCGAGCCGGUGUGGGACCGAGACAUCUUGUUGGGGCCAAGGAGUCCGGCUCGGGUCGAGGCGCUAGUUGGGGAUUACCUAUGCGAGAAGGGUCGGAACCCGUACGAUGAUGAAGAGAAUUGCAAGUUUGGUCGGGAGUUCUUCCACGUGAAAGAGGAGUGGUUGGACCGAUUUAAGGCAUUGAUGCUGGAAAAGUGCGGCCAGAAGUUCACCACGUUCGAAGCUUUAGGUGCAUUCAUUUGGCGCGCAAAGUAAGUCAUUUAAGUACACCAACCAUUUCGAGAUUAUCUUAGGAUUAUCCUUCUGAUUACACUGUUAAUUUAGAGAUUUGCACAUAUGUAAAUAUCCGGCCGCAACGUCUUGACUUCAAUUGAUUCACAAAUUCCUGAAAUAGGGUCAAAGUAUCGGACAUUCCAGGCGAUGAGACGGUGAAAUUCUCAUACUCAUCGAACAUCCGCAAGGUGCUGAAACCGCCAUUGCCGGUCGGCUACCGGGGCAACGGAUGUGUCCCGAUAUACGUCCAACUAAAGGCGAAAGACUUGCUGGAAAAGCCAAUUUGGGAAGUCGCGGAGCUGAUCAGGAAGAGCAAGCGCAACGCAAGCGAUGAGUACGUGCGAUCGUACAUCGACUUUCAAGAAGCACAUCGAAGAGAAGGCGUCUCGGCAGGUCAGAAGGAGAAGGCUUUUGUUUUUUUGUUUUUUAAUUUUUUGAAAGAUUUACGUUGCAUAGCAGGCAUUGACAUUGUCCACGAAAUAGUAUAUAUUUAUCUAUUAUUGCCUUAUGAUUAUGGGGAGACAAGACAAUCAAUUUUCAAUGAAUUGAGUGCAUGUUAAGGAAAUAUACUCUUUUAUUUCAAUUUCUCAGGAAAAAAAUUUAUCGGCUUGUAAUAUCACAUGCUUAGGACAUUUUGUAUAAGGAUGCAAAAGAUACUUUAUGGUCAAAAAGAGCCAAGUGUCUGUAUAUUAUGAUUUACAUGUCUAUUAUCACACUUACAAUUUUUAAUAUCUUGAGGUCUUCACUAGGAGUACAAUAUUGUAAUUUCUCAAAUUUAGACCACAUGCAAUGAGUUGGGAGUCUACAACAUCUAGUAGAAUUAAUCAGAUGUUCGAAGAAUCUCGGAUAUCCAAUUUGAAAUACAAGAUUGAUAGUUGACUAGCGUAUUGCGGCCAUUUAUCGAAUUUAAUCUAACACAAAUUCUCCUUUGGCAUAUUUCAACGCAUUUUCACAGUAGAACUAGCUACAACAUCAUCUGUAAAAUGAGCUCACUCGAUGAUUUUUGUUUUCAGGAAAAAAUGUGAGCGGAUUCACGGAUUGGAGGCAUUUGGGCCACUCGGCGGUGGAUUUUGGGUGGGGAGGCCCGGCCAACGUGCUGCCCCUCUCGAGGAAGCUCUUGGGGAGCAACGAGGCUUGCUUCUUCUUGCCUUGUUCCGAGGUCGGAGUCGGAGAUCCGAGCGAUGGCUUUAGGGUUUUGGUGAAUCUGAAGGACAGGUGGUUGUGUGGUUUUAGGGAGGAGAUGGAGAAGCUUGGGAAGAUGGAGUUUGGCUUUACUUAAUGUCAAGGCAAGAUGCUUGAGUGGCUUUUCAUUGUAAGCUGUGGAAGUUGGUUUUGUAAUUUGGAGCAAGUUCCUAUGGGGGACUUUUCAUUUCCCCCCUCCAAGUUUGAUCUAAUUCUCUUUCUUCUUUUUUUUCGAGAAUUCAUUGUGAUCACUACGCUACUUAUGUGAUAUGAUGGGCGAUCAUAUUUUGAACAUAAGUGAGAAUAUUACAUGUUAAAAUCAACAUUCGUACGUGAAAUUCAAAAUAAAAAUCGAUGGAAGAAUUCUAUAGUCAUGAAUGAAGAGGUUUGCCACUAACGUUUUUCUUAAUCAUAUCACGACCAUAGCAAGUGAAAGCCUAGAAUUCCGAAUGAGUGUAUUUAUCAACGCAUUUCCGGAUCUAUCACUUAUCAAAAACUUGAUUUGGCAAUUUAGCUAGCUAAAUUAAUGAAGUGGGAGUAAAACCUAGCUAAGUAUGUAGGCCGAUUAAGAUGAGAAAAACUAGCGAAGUUGCUAGUCCCAUGAUAAACUCUAACGAUUGGCCUUACCACAUCAUCAGGAGCCUUUGACAUGUCAGUCAUUAUCUCAAUCAACCACCUUACCCCAUUCUUCUUUUGAUGAAAUGCAACUGUUUCUUUGACUAUAUUACACAGACUAAAUUAAUUGUCCCAAAUUAAUCACACAAUUCAAGAAUUUAACAGACCCAUAAUGAAUCUCACAAAAAAAAAACUUAUAUUAUGAUUAGCUUUAUCUAACACGCUAUAACCCCCAAAUAAACUUUGUACAAAAUUUGAUAGUAAGAAAGAGUGUCUAAACAAAAUUUGAUUGAUGAAGGAUAAUUUCCUAGGUCUAGACAGAUAACGCCUUGACCUAAAUUAGCUAAAUAAGGAAAUCAAGAUAAGAAAAGGAAAUCACAGGGAAUACACGCCAAUGCAAAUAACAAAAGUUAAUCCCUCCCACAACGCUCGCAAAAUGUGUUUAAAAAUAUUAUAUAAAAUCAGUCGAUUUGCUACACCAAUUGCUCAAGUUGUUAGGAAUACGAGUCAAUAACAGAUGUCAAGCAUAUUCCUGUUAAUUUCCAUAUGUAACGUAUUUGAUAUGCAUUAGUUGGCUCUCCAUUCUAACAUCUUUAGCUUUUCUAACAUUUCAUCAUCACAUAAGUAUCUAAGCAAAUCUUAAAAAGCUUUAUCUUGUUUCUCAUCUAGAUUUUAGGAUCGUCAAGAUGUAAAAUAACUAGAGUUUAUUCCUUCCUAUUGGGGAAAUGAAAAAUAUAAGGAGAAUCGGGCGAAGAAAACGAAUGGAAGUUAACAUCAUACCGUUUUUUUUUUUAAACAGACAUAUAUGUAACGACCACAACGAGCUGGACCGGAAGGAUGAAAAAAGUCCAGUAGUGAGAAUCCUGAAGGCUUUGCUGAAAUCUAUCACCUUAUCCUCAAAGUGACUAACCAAUAGGAGUUUUCCUCUAAAAAUAAAAUAAAUCGACCGAAAGUCUAUGUGAAGCCUGUGAGAGGAGCUAGCUCUGCGACACGAAGAAGCCAUGGCGUCUCUCCUGGGAACUUCUUCCACAGCAAUCUUGGCCUCACGGCGCCUCUCCUCACUUUCAGGUGCACUUUCCUGCACAUGUUUCAAGCGUUUGGGGGAUAGUCCGAAUGACCCAUCUCAGUUCUGGUCCUCGACUUUCUCGAAUUCGACUCUUUCAAGCGCGGGGUUUAUGAGGUUUUUAAUGGGUCUGUGGAAUUUGCCUUUGUUGUUGAAUUUUCUUGUUUGCAGUGCAGAAUCAUGGCAAGAAAUGCUAUGGAGGGAUUGAAUUUCAGACCAGGAAAGGAAGGUGUCCGUGGCAUCUUGCCGUCACCAAUGUUGCGACUGACAUCAAUUCUGUCGAGCAGGUAUCGAUUCUUUCCUUUGCCUUUUCUUUUAUUAGCUCUAUGCAUUUCUGGGAAGUUGCAGCAAGAGACUGAUGUAGAUUGAUGCUGCUUCAAAUUUUUUUAAUUGCUGAGUUUUUUUAGUGAAAGUAGACUGAAAAUUGGGCUGCUUCCAUUGCAUUUAAUGAUAAAGUGAGGAUUUCUUAGGCUGAGGCAUUACGCUAAUUGAAGUCGAAUGGGAAAAAGAAAAUGCUUUGCAGUUGAUGGUUGUUUGUGGGUGGUCUUGUUGAGUGAAGUGAGAAUUGUUUGGGGGAGAAUUAGCAUGGAUUGCUUGUGUAGGAUUUUGUGAGCUGGAUUGGAUGGAUUUUUUUCAUUUUUCAGGCUCAGAGGCUUGCGUCUAAGGAGAGUCAGAGGCCGGUCUAUCCUUUUGCCGCUAUAGUUGGGCAAGAUGAGAUGAAGCUAUGCCUCUUACUAAAUGUCAUUGAUCCGAAGAUUGGUGGUGUCAUGAUUAUGGGAGAUAGGGGCACCGGGAAAUCCACUACCGUCCGGUCAUUGGUCGAUUUACUCCCUGAGAUUUCGGUGAAACCGCAAGGUUCUAUGGACUUCCAGCAACCGGGUUACGGCAAUUCUGAACGCAAAUUUAUCCACAAGCUUAUGCCACCCAGUUUCUGAAGCCAAAUGCGCUGGAAUACUCACGGAGGCAUAUCGGAGAGAUAAACGGAGCAAUUAAGAAGAAAUCCUUCGCUGUGCCUAACCUACAAAAUCAUGGACGAUGCAUACUGCCAAUCUACAUAGAGCACAAAGAGGUCUUCUGAAAUCAAACGGACCUACUGCGACAGGAGGGUGGGAGACGCAAAAUGCACGCGAAACAGCGAGAGACAAGGCACAACAAAGGCGAGAGUCUGAAGGAACUCCUCAUCGGAAAAGUUCACAUCUCAUCAGGUUUCUCCAUCGGAAAAACUAAGUGCGCUUGUGCAAAGCCCCUCCGCUUGACAGUACCUUCCUUGCGAUCGCGACAGGAAGUGAGCUCGAGCGUGGGAGAGGGAGGUGUUGGAAGAUAUGCUCGAAUCUGAUCUUGGGAGAUAUGCUCAUAAUCUCAGUUGAUCUUAAUUGUACAUAAAUUAGUUAGGAUCUUUAGAUUGAGAUUGGAUUCGAUUUCAUAAAUAUUUGUUUGCCUUUUAUUAUUUCAUCUCUGUACUAUAAUUACAGAAGAAAUGUACAUCAGGAUACAUACGAAAUAUACAAGAAUUACAGAUCUCUAGUCUUCUUCACUUUCUUACAUGGUAUCAGAGCUUUGGCUUCUGAUUGUUCUUCGCUUCCGCUCCUGAUUGCCCACCAAAGGAGAUCUGAAUCACACAACAGAUCUACCAUCUUGGUAUAGGAAUCACUCUCAAAGAAGACAAGAGCUACUGGUUUCUUACCUCCAAUGGCUAACAACCAAUCCAACCCAGAAGCCUCACCACCGGCGUAGAUCCAAAAUUUACCUGCAACAACACAACAACAAACAAUCCAGGCACACCCUGUUCAAUGGAGACCUACACAGGCUCAGUUUGGUCUAGGGCAACCCUUUGCGGGUCAACCGUUCCAGUGGGUACCUUACCCAUUUUAUCUCGGGACAAACCCGAAUACAUCAUCGCCCGUUUAUGUAGGACACCAGGGAGCCCACGUCCAAUCCGAGGCAAGCUCACCAGCCAUAAACGGGGCAAGCUCGACCCUAGGACUAGAGCCGGUAAGCGGAUUUGGAGAACCAGGUAUGGGAACGAAUCCCUACCUGGGGUUUUCAAAUGCGGAUUACCAAUUGGGCCAAGGGACAAAGACCUACCCGAACCUUGUGCUCGGAUUCAUGCCAUUCCCCGUCGCUGCGGUCACCGGGCGUCCGGAGCCUGGUGAUCCCCUACAUGUCUCAACAACCGAUGGCCCUGAGCUGAAACUGAUCAACCUUCAGUUAACCGGACCAGAGAAUUACACCAGGUGGUCCCGAGACUUCCGGCAUGCCCUUGUGACGAAGGACAAGGAUGGAUUCCUCGACGGGGCGGUUCCGAUUCCUGCCGAUGAGCGACUAGCCCAAUUCUGGAGGAAAUGCAAUCAACUCGUGAGGACGUGGAUUAGCAACUGCAUCUCCCCAGAGGUCGCGGCUGGUCUCCCACCAACAGAAGACUCGAAAGCCAUAUGGGAAAACAUCAAACAAAUGUAUGGCAAAUUAGAUCGGGCACGAAUUCUUUCCCUUUUGCAGGAACUCAGUGAGUUAAAACAGGGGAACAUGACCAUCACGGCCUGUUACAACAAACUGUCAUCCCUGUGGAACGAUCUCAAAGCAGUAGAAGAGAAGCUCGAGGGACCAGAGGAGACACUCGCACAAUACCAGUCGAUCAAAGAAAGGGAAAAGGCGACCCGAUUCCUUUUAAUCUUGAACGAUUCUUACCUGACGUUUCGCUCGCAGAUUUUGGCCAUGGAACCGAUGCCCCCUCUUGGCCGGAUCUUUCAAUUAGCAGUCCAAGAAGAAAGCCAGAGGCUUGCUUCAUCAGAAUCGGCGAAAGGAGGAGAGAGUUUUGCCCUGGCCAGUCAUGGUGAGCGAAGAAAUUGGGGAUCGAAAACCCUAGUGCUCGAAAUAGGGGUGCUAGGAGGAGAGCUAGGGUUUCAGUCGCCCGGAUCUGAGGAUUCCCACCUCCUUAAAAGAGGAGGACUGGACGGCUCGAAUUCAGCUUGCAGAUCGGAUGGUCUAAAGGGACCCAUCUAUUCGACCGGAUCUAAUGGUGGAGAUGGAGCGACUAGGAAGACAUCCGACGGUGGUGGUUUUUUUUCUGCAUCUAACGGCAGAGGAAUUUUUUCGGCAUCUACAAAAAGUUUUAAUCAAAAAAUGGGUAAAUUAUAUUGUGAAUUUUGUAGAAGGCCACAUCAUACAGUGGAAAAUUGCUGGAAAUUACACGGUAAACCCGGAGAAAAAGGAAAAAAAGAAGGAAAUUUCUACGGCCUACCGGGUUGGUGGUUCUAAUGUUGAUCAGUCCAUAACAAAUGAUCAAUACCAACAACUGAUGCAGGCAAUACAGAAAUUGGACAUCUCAAGCAAGGGAGGAAAUUUUUCAGGUGUUUCUCGCUGCCUGAUUAAUAAUAUUUCCAAGAAAUCCUAGAUAAUUGAUUAUGGGGCAAGUGAUCACAUUGUCUGUGAAAGAGCAUUAUUUUCAGAUAUACAUGAGAACUUGGAAUUUCCUAUUACUAUCCAAUUACCAAAUGGCAAUGUUACUCAUGUCAAAAUCACUAGAUCAGUCAAACUCAGCCCAGAAAUCAUACUCCAAAAUGUCCUUUACCUUCCAAAAUUUCGAUUCAAUCUUAUUUCUGUGUCCAAAGUCUGUAGAGAAAAUUCUUGUCAUGUAUUGUUUGAUUCUAACACUUGCUUCUUUCAGGCCCUUUCGACUGGCAUAGUGAUGGGCUUGGGUAGUCUUUCUGAAGGAUUGUUUCUAUGGAAAAAUUCUCCAAGUAAUUUUGAUUUAUCCUCAUUUCCUUCAAAUAAAAUAUUAUUGUGUAACACGACUACCAAUGAUAAAUACUAUCUUUUACAUUCACGAUUGGGUCAUAGUGUUUCAUUUCCUUAUUCUAAGUGUCAAAUAUGUCCCCUUGCAAAGCAAUCACUCAUUCCUUUUGCCCUUAGUAAAAAUCGUGCAACGCACAUUUUCUCUUUAAUUCACAUGGAUGUUUGGGGUCCUUACCAUACCCAACAUUAUGAUGGAUCGCGCUAUUUCUUGACAAUUGUGGACGAUUAUUCUCGUGCCACUUGAGUUUUUCUGAUGCAAUCAAAGGGACAAGUCUUCUCACAUUUGAAAACAUUUAUUGCUCUAUCCAAGAACCAAUUUGGAAGAUCUAUCCAACGAGUUAGGACAGACAAUGGGAAGGAGUUCUUCAACAAUGACUGCAAUUUUCUUCUGCCAUCUCAUGGGAUUCUCCAUGAAAGUUCUUGCAUCUAUACUCCACAACAGAAUGGAGUAGUGGAGCGUAAGCAUCGUCACCUAUUGGAAGUUGCACGUGCAUUAAAAUUUCAGGCGUCUAUUCCAGAAAAUUAUUGGGGCGAAUGUAUAAUUACUACAUCAUAUAUGCCAACUCAGAUACUCAAUGGAAAAACCCCAUUUGAGUUACUCUUCAAGAAGAAACCGGAAUUGGGGCAUUUAAGGAUAUUCGGAUGUCAGUGCUUCACUACUGUUUUGGGCCCUCGAGACAAAAUGGGCCCUCGAACUCGAUGGUGCAUCUUCAUGGGUUAUCCGAAUUUACAAAAGGGGUAUCGAGUCCUAGAUCAAUCAACAUUGGAAUUCUUCAUCAGCAGAGAUGUUAUUUUUCGCGAAGAUAUUUUUCCUUUCAAAGAAAAGGACUCUUCAACGGAGAUGCCAAACAAUUCUGGUAAGCCACUAUCUAUGGAGGAUUUUUCAAAUACCGAAUAUUUUGUGACAGGAACUCCAGAACCACUUAUGAUAACCCCAGUCACUCUUGAGAUUUCCGCACCAACAAUUGUCGAAAAUGGUGCUCAAGAAAAUUCCUCAAUGGCGGAAGAAUCCUCUAAUGAAAUUGGCAAUACAGAAUUAUCUUCAACUCUAGCUCAAGCGAAUCCUCCUCGACGAUCUGGUCGUUCUACAUGACCGCCAGCUUGGAUAGAAGACUAUGUUUGUGCAUCACCCAACUCACCAGUUAUUAACUACCCAAUAUCAUCUUAUGUUUCGUUCCAUAGACUUUCACCAGAACAUAGAUGUUGUGUGAGUCAAAUAUCAAAGGACAUCGAACCAUCUACUUAUGAAGAAGCAGCUAAAGACCCAAGAUGGCAGGAACCUAUGGGAGCUGAAUUGCAGGCACUAACUGCAAACAAGACCUGGGAUUUAGUCCAUCUACCACCAAAUAGGAAACCCAUUGGAUGCAUAUGGGUAUACAGGAUUAAAUACCGUGCUGAUGGGUUUAUUGAGCGUUACAAAGCUCGAUUGGUGGCCAAAGGAUUUAUUCAACGGGAAGGCUUUUUGACUACCAUGAAACCUUUUCCCCCGUUGCCAAAGACGUAACAGUAAGAUCCUUCUUAUCUAUUGCAGCUAUCAAUGAUUAGCCUUUACACCAAAUGGAUGUACAUAACGCUUUUCUGCAUGGAGACUUAGAUGAGGAAAUCUACAUGGAUAUUCCUCAAAGAUUACGGAGACAGGGGGAGAAUAGAGUAUGUCGUCUCCGUAAAUCUCUCUAUGGUCUCAAGCAAGCUUCCAGGCAAUGGUAUGCAAAAUUUGCCGAUGCUCUCACUUCUGCAGGUUUCAAACAGUCUGGAUAUGAUUACGCCUUGUUCACAUGGACUCAAGGUACGUCAUCUAUUUAUCUGAAGGUAUAUGUUGACAAUAUCCUCAUCAUGGGAAAUAAUAAAACUGCAAUAGAGAGAUUCAAGAAGUAUCUGCAUUUUACUUUUCAAAUUAAAGACUUGGGAGCACCCAAAUACUUUCUUGGAAUCGAGAUUGCUCGAUCUGAUCGUGAGAUUUCUCUUAGUCAACGGAAGUUUAUGCUGGAAAUUAUAUCAGAGGCAGGACUAUCGGGAUGCAAACCAUCGGUUAUUCCAAUUGAGCAGAAUAUAAAGUUGACCACCAAGGAUUAUGAUGCUGGGACAUCUGAGAAUCAUGAUCAUGUUCUCAAUGAUCCUUCAGGUUAUAAGCUUGUUGGGAAGCUCAUAUAUUUAACUAUGACCAAAUCUGAUAUAUCAUACACAGUGCAGACUCUCAGCCAAUUCAUUCACAGUCCCAAGUUAUGUCACUUGAAUGCUGCAUUAAAGGUCGUGAAGUACUUGAAGAAGUGCCCGGGACUAGGGAUUCUUUUAUCCAUGGAAUGCAAUAUGAAAAUGUCGGCAUACUAUGAUGCAGAUUAUGCGACUUGUCCUAUGAGUCGACGAUCCAUUACAGGUUUUUGCAUUAAACUUGGAGAUUCUCUUCUUUCAUGAAAAACCAAGAAGCAGGCAACUGUAUCAUUGUCUUCAGCCGAAGCAGAAUAUCGGGCUAUGGCAAAAACUACCUGUGAGAUCAUAGGGAUAUGGGGACUACUUGGGGAUCUUGGGAUAAAUUUGAAGAGUCCGACUAGGUUGUUCUAUGACAACAAUGUGGCGCUCAAACUUGCAGCAAAUCCCAUAGUACAUGAAAGAACGAAGCAUAUAGAAGUGGAUUGUCACUUCACUCGAGAAAAGAUUCAAGAAGGGAUAAUUGAGACUCGAGGAAUUGGAAUGGCGGAGCAACUAGCCGAUAUCUUCACUAAGCCCCUAUGUCAAAGACAGCAUGCAUAUCUAUUGAGCAAGCUAGGCAUCUUGGAUAUCUAUCAGCCACCAGCUUGAGGGGGAGUGUUGGAAGAUAUGCUUGAAUAUGAUCUUGGGAGAUAUGCUCGGAAUCUCAAUUGAUCUUAAUUGUACAUAAAUUAGUUAGGAUCUUUAGAUUGAGAUUGGAUUUGAUUUCAUAAAUAUUUGUUUGCCUUUUAUUAUUUAAUCUCUGUACUAUAAUUACAGAAGAAAUGUACAUCAGAAUACAUACAAAAUAUACAAGAAUUCCAGAUCUCUAUAGUCUUCUUCACUUUCUUACAGGAGGGACAGAGAUCGGCUGGAUUAGAAUGGAGAUGAGAGAGAAGCACUCUGGUUUUUUUUGCAGGUUUUUGAAUGGCGACUCUUUAUAGAGAGAGAGAGAGAGAGAGAGAGAGUAGCUCUGAAAGAGGCAGGACCAGAAAGUGGCGGAAAACCGACGGAGGUUCGUCUGAGCGACUCGUCAUGCGCUCGCCGGGAGUUCUCCCGAGGGGACAAUAAAAUCCCGAUUCUGCCCCUCUAGGGGAACCAAUUCACGUAUUGCUCCGGUAUUGCCUUUAUUUUGUCUACUUUGGACCCAAAUCAUCGGAUCUAAAUAGAUUUUAAUCGUCGAUCGCAUGGAUUCAGACACUUGGGAACCAUGAUACCAACGGCAUUGAUGGAUUUAGCGCAUGUAGAGUUGAGUUUAGACAAGCAUUUACCCUCACAUUAAUAAAAUGUGUACAGGACUCAAGGAGCUAUUCGUCGGUUUGCUACCAAAGCCCAUCUCAUGUGCUUUACACCAAGAAGAGGGCACUUUUGCUCAAGAAAAAUUUCAAGCUGGCAUUAGUAAGAACUAAAGAAAUUGACAGGAGAAUUAAUAUCUUAUUGUCAUAUAAAGGAGUACUUUAAAGUUGUGUCGUAUUGAACUUUGUCCCACCUAUUACACUAUUGAAAUGUUAUGUUUAAUAUACCAAUAAAGUAUCAAUCGCUAGUUGAGCAAGUUUAUCACCACAACCCCAUUAAAUAUGAGUAGGGAAUUCUAAGAUUAAUGAUAGACCAAAGCCCAAGUUCGUCUUUCACAGAUUAACCAAAAAAAGAAAAGCAAACUAUUUAUGUUACUUUAGGGGUCUACCGUACACUUUGCUUCACAGAAUUGAAUGGAUUGUCUGAGCCCCUUGACCAUUUUGUUGGAUGUUCUAAGUUUUGCUUUACUAUUUACACUCCCUAUGUAUAUAAGUUUACAAAAAAAAAAAAAAAAAAAUUCUCCGUUACUCUAUCGGAUUAAUAAAGAUAGGAAAACAUUUAUGAUUAUUCUAGCAAAAAAAUGACCUUUGAUAGAAAUAACCUUUUUAUUUUAAGUGAAAUGCGUACUAUAUAUUAGUAAUUAGCAUUUGGCGUGUUUAAAAAAGAUGAAACUUCAAAAAUUAAAUUUGAGAUACACCGCUAACUAAUUUUGUUUCAAAAAGGCUUUUAAGUAAUUUUUCCUCAAUCCAAAAUAGUAAAACUUUUCGUUAUCUAACUUUACUAAUUUAUUAGGCAAUCAUCUUUCCUACGUGUAAUGAAAGUACACAUUAAUUAAAGUUUUAAAUCAAGUAUGUUGAACAUUUCGCCCCUCGAAUUAGAUUCUGGCCAUUUAGUUCUCGGAAAAAUGAACUCUGUCGUUUAGACAAUCACGCCUUUGCAAAGCUGGUGUUUCCAAUGCGUAAAGAGAGUUACAAGCAACUGAGUUGAUGGCGAUGGAAAGAGGUUACAAACCGAGUUUUGACAAGAGCUUGGCCGACGCGUGUGGUAUUACACGGUGAGCCUGAGUCCCUCUUCGACAGUCCGGCCAUUUUUUGUUCGUUUUGAGAUGGCCGACGUACCUCAACUUCGGCAUCCUGGUCACGAUGGCCCUCAACUUCGGCAUCCCGGUCAUCCUUAUAUUCUCGGCCUUAUAGAGCUGAGUGGAACAUUUCGACCGUGUCCUACGCUGUCAGGCACGCCGACCUCCGAUCCACAGUUCCACGUUCGUGUAUUGCUGCGGAGGAUGCGAAGUUUUGCACCACAAGUUAUACGCUAAGGAUCUACUAUGGCCCCAGAUACAACACCCUUGGCAGGUUGGCCUUCCGCUGCGAUUCGUGCAAUGUCCAGUUAUAUUUCUGCCUCGCGAUUAAGCCGGACAAGGGACAUUCCAACUCAAGGCAAGAAGUUUCGAGUCAUGAAUGCACAUUGACCUAACGCUAUGGCGAGUUUAGCUGCAGCCUGUGCAGGGAUAUGAUAUCGGAAGCAGAUUGUUAUGUCUCUUUUGGACCGUGCUGUCUUUUAGCAGAAGAGACCAAGCUGCUCGGAUUCUCCUCAGUUGAUCGUCAUUGCCGCCAUAUCUGCGAGCUGCUCGGACUCUGUCAAGUGCUUCCAUUACUAUUGCCGGACAUGGCACCUACUAUCUAGAGCAAGAUUUUCUACUCAAAACUCUCGCAUAUCAUCAGCUAGGAGUGAAUGUGACAAUAAUGAGGAUGAUGCAUGUGGUACACCCAACAAAGAAUUGAGUUGAUACAUUGUGAUAAGAUUCAAAGGUUGCCGACACUCCCAACAAGUUUAACCUAUCUAUUAGUGUCAUCUUCAUCGUUGUGGGUAGUCCUAGAUCUCUCGAACUUGACUAAUUUGGUUGAGCUGAAACUACAGCAACACGGACAAGUAGGAGAUAAACUUUGUAUCGGUCAAUUAUGGUGGAUUGAGAGGUUAUCCAAACUGACUGUUUUAAGGGUCAAACUUCACAAAGUCCCUAUUCCUAUUGAGUUGGGUUCCCUUCCUCUGCUAACGUUACUUGACUUGUCUAAAUUGGACAUGCAAACCUUUCAGCCACUUCCCUUGUCUCUGCAGAGGCUAAGCCUUGAGAAUUUCAAUUCAAUUGGGUCACUCUCUCGGGACUUGAGAAAUUUGUCAUUUUUAAAGCUCCAUGGGUCUCCAAUGCAAGAAGUUCAACUCGAUGGGCUUCAACUUCCACAACUAAAGGUGUUGCAUGUGGAGUACUGGACACCCUUAAGAGGUUGAGGCUAUCAAGAAUGAGGAAGCUGAAAGAUAUUAAGGCGGUAAAUUGUCAAGCUGGUUGAGAUCCAAUUGUCUUGGGUGUUCGAAUCACUGGAGGCACUGUCUAUUGAACGUUGCAAGUCCUUGGAAAGGCUAGUUUAUGAGACUCUCGAUGAGUUGAUUACUUGUGAAGGGAGACUAAUUUUUCCAUCAAGAGUCUUAAGUAAGUUGCAUGCUCUCACACUGUAUCAUUGCCCUAAGAUACUCCACAUUCAAGAUGUGGAUACGUCGGAAUUGUGGGAGUACUUUCGCCUUUGGAGUUGGCCUCAUCUGCAAAAUCUCGUUGGUUUGUCAAACUUUUAAGAACCUGAAGACUUUAAAUAUCCAGAACUGCGAAAGCCUACGACUUGUUGUGGGCGUCAACGAGUUUUUGGGCCAAUUAAUUCUUUGUAGCUGCGCGUCGUUGGAAAGGGUGAUUUAUGUAUCAACCACCAAACUGCCAAUCGAUCGCCACUUAUUUAUCUUCGGUUGCGAGAAAUUACGAGGGACUGAGAAUGAGUCAAGGGCUUCCAGAAGGAAUAUGGGGCUUCAAAGCAUUAUAAAGUGAGUCCGAAUCAUUCUCUCUUUUUUUUCUUUUCGAUUUUCUUAAUGGAACUAUCACAAACAUCACUUUAGCUUUUAGGUAGAUUUGUAAUAAUUGCGGGAAAUCAAAAAACAAUCCAACGAGCAUGAAUUAUAUUUGCUUUUACUCAUUUUAAAACUCACUCCAUAUAAAUUGUUUUAUUUUCCGCUUGCGUUUUCUCAUAUUCUUUUCUUUUUAUGUAUACGAGAAAGUCCUAUUUGUACGGGGCUAGUUUUUAUCGUAAAUGAUUCUAGAAACUUCAAUGUCUGGAAAAAAAAUGCACACUAGCUCAGAGUCUCUGACAAAACUAUUAAUCUUGUUUUGCAUGGAGUGAGUUGUUCGGCUUAGCAAUAUUUUUAUGUAAGAUACUCUACUCUAUUGUCAUUUCUUACUUAAUAUAUUUAUUAUGGAGAUGAGUUUGGUGAUUUUCGAUUUUUACGGUGAAGAUGGAACUUUAAAAGACUUUGGUUCACAUUGAUGGAUUGAGAGUUGCUUGAAUUAGCAUGUGGUUGGGGUUGGCCAAUUAGGAUGUGUGUUCCCAAAAGCAUCUAAAAAUAUAUUAUUUAAGAUUUUGCAUUCUAAAGGGAACAAUGAAAAAUCUGAUUGCUGGAUAAUGUAUUUUCACAUCAAAGCACAAGGAUUGUUUCUUUCUGCGUACUUGAACACUUGCUAAGGGAGUAUAGGCAUAGUGUAAAAUAAGCAAAAAGUAAGAAGAUUCCUAAUUCUCGUCUUCUUAAUCUUUUCGGAAUGAUUGAAUCAAGUUUUUAGAUGAUUUUGAUCUGCUUCCUAAAAAAAAGUUUAAUGUUGGUUUAUAGCUAAACCCAUCAUUUGAUACAAAAGAUUUAAGUAACGUCUUUUUAAUAUUUUUAUUAGUGUUUUAUUUUUCAUAUUCAACGGCAUAUCUUUUUUAUUGGUUGUUUCCUUUUUUUCUAUUUUGCUCCAUCGACUAAAAAAGCAGAAAGCACAUAUUUUUUUCAAUCUCAACGAUUGCAAUUAAAACUUAUAUAAACAGAUAGAAACUGUUUUAAAUUCCUCAAAAGAUACUGAUGAAAGUCAUAAAUAGAUUAAACACGGUGGUUGAUUUGAUCGCAUGAUUUUGAUCAUUGUCGAAACUUUCAUGGAAGACUGGUUAUGAUUUUAUUUUGCAGGAAUCGUGCUUUGAUUGGAUCUGGACAUGUUUUGAAGGCUUGUGAUCACGUGAUAAUUGUUAGCACGCAGGGACGGACAAAGUCAACAUUUUAGGUGAUAAACUCUCUCGAGUCUUGACACUCCUUGCACCUGCUUACGCCGCAAAUUCUCGAACUCCUCUUCACGGUUGUGGCCAAAGAUAUUUGGUCGACUCCUUGCGGCUGCUGAGUCCCAUUGUCGUCACGACCGAGCGGAACUGAAGAAGCCAGGUCUCUUUGACGCCUCUUGAUGGACCACGGCCAUUGCGCCUCACCAUCUGCCGCCAUGUAUACUCGGAGCCUCUCCAAGGCGUUCUCUCUAGUUUUCGCCAUCGCCAUUUCCAUUUCUCUAGCUUGCUUCGGUUCUCUUUGCUCUUCUUCCUGCGGGUCUCCUCCUGUCUGUGGAGCAAUGCAGGAGGACACGUCUUUACUCUGUGUGACGGCCCGAGGCAGAGGAUUAUAUGUACUCGACUGGCUUUUUCCGGUCCUGCGCCCUAUUACUAAUGUUAGACUCGAAUCCACUACCCGUUAUGUUCGUCCUUCUUCAUGUAAAUUAACUAAAUUAAAAACAAAAACAAAAACAAAAACAAAACAAAACAAAACAAAACACAGAAGAAAACAACAGAAGAAGGCAUAACGGUCGGCCCCCGCUGCUGCCCCACCAUCAUCGAAAAGGGCCAAUGAUGGUGGGGGAUGGCAAGCCCUGAAGCCAGUGGCUGGCGAGGAUCCCCGAACCUCCACAGUGGCCAAUGACCAUCGCCAGCCGGCCAUCCCCCACCACCACCGGCCCCCUCCGGCGGGAGCAAGGGCCCUCGCGAUUUUGCCUUCUUCCUUUUUUUUAUCAUUUAAAUUUAGCUUAUUUUUUAGUUUGAUUUAAAUAAAAUUUGUAAUAAAAAUCAGAUAUAGAUAUAUUCCAUAUUUUUGCCAUAUCAUUGCCACAAGAAGAAAUAAAAUAUUAAAAAAACCCAAGUCAGUGUUUUCGAUUACCUAAGUUAGACAAAAUUAGUGGAAAAACUUGAUUGCAUAAAUUUGACAAGUUUUAAACUUUAAUGGCAUUUUCUGUAAGUUUUAAGAUUUAAUUACACUUUCAUUAUAAGUUUUAGGAUUUCUAGAUUACUUAUCCCUAAUUUGUAUUUUACCACAUUAUGAACUUAAGCUAUCACAACCAACUACUGCAAACUCCGUCUAAGUUUUGAUAUUGGAUCACAUGAUCUUGAAUUCGAUCAUUCACUCUUUUCACCUUCAAUAAUUUUGGAAAGGUAUUAUGUCUGCAUAUUUCAUACUUUCACUCUUCUAUCUACCAGCGUUAGCAUAAAGAGGUAUUCAGAUAUAAAACUUAGUGGACUCUUUAUUAGCUCAAACCUUUGGAACUACUUAUCGCGCACGCCGACUAUAAGGAAAGCAAUGUCAUUCAUGCUCUUCUUUAGUACAUUUCCAGGAGCACGUCUAAUCGUACCCUAUAUCCUGGAGAACUUUUGACAGCAAUUUUGGACCUUUUGGUUUCUAUCGGUCUUUGCAUAGAGGUGGUCAAUAUGAUAAAUGAAGAUAAAGAAGAUAAGAUUUGCGACCGUAAGACUGAUAAUCGCAUAGGUCGGGCAUCAUGUGACAGUUCAAAUGUCGCACGAUCUAAAGUUUUAUGUUAGCACUGCCCUGGCUUUCCCGCUGCUAAGAAAACCCACUAAGUUGAGACGCCGAGGUGUCUUCUAUAAUGACCUCCAGUAGGAAACCGAGUACUCUCAAGUCAAAGGAAAUAACAAGCCGAGAUUGAACAAUUAUGAAUUGUUAAGUUUGAGAAGUGGGUCCCAUAUUUGAAACAUUGAAAACUUGACGGCAUCUCAUGAACAACGAGGGAAGAAAAAUAGUCUUGAUUCAGCGAGGCACCAAGAAAUGUCCUCGGGAUUUCAUCCCGAACCGACAGGACACAAAAAUAGACAGUCCCUGAAUAGAUGCAGGAAGCCAGUAUGCUUCCACAAUCCAGAAGUCUGAGAAAUAAGCAUGCGUACGCUUUCCUGAUUCAUCAUUGCACCCAUGUUCAGAAGAAUGUCUGAGCAAGUAGGCAUUUCCCAUGUUUGUAUAGGCACAUGCAUCCAUGAUCUCCUGUGAUUCUAUUUGGGCGUGACUUGUGCACACUCGUGUCUAAGAGAGAGGGAGAGAUAUCUCGUUUGAUGCAACUUCAAGUGUGAAUCUCCUUGGACAUGAGCUGUGAUGCAAAUUUAUGUACCCUACGGAUGUUUUAUCUGGUGAAGGAAUUGCAAAGAAAUGCCAGGGGUAAAAGAUAUAUAUAUAUAUAUCAUGGACAACCCGAAGGACAUCCUGUGAAAUCAUUGAUAACCAGAAGCAUAUCUGCUCUUCGUAGAUGGGAUGAUUAAGCAUUAACAGAUUGUUGUUGGUCACAAGUGCUCGAACAAGCAAUUCUUUAGCUUCUUCCUGCUUCUUUAGCAUGUUGCAGAUCUGCAAGACAAUUCCCCUAGGCAGCCAAUGUAUUACUAGCAGAAGGAUCACAAAGAUGGUAGAGUAGACAAGAUUCAAUGCCAGUCUCUGUUCCAAUCGCUUUCUGAAAACUCAAUUGCUAAUGUUAGACCUUUAAUUAUAAAAAAUAGCUAUAAGGUACGAUAGAUUCAUCCUCAAGGAUAAUUAGGUUGGACUGUAGAAGAAAUCAGAAUUUCUGUAUUAGGGAGAUUCUCUUCAUCAAUUGAUUUCUAGUUGUACAAGUUCAAUAAAUAAAGAUGCUUAAUGUCAAUGAAUCCAUAACAAAAUUAUCAGAAGUGAGCAAACAUCCAGUAGUGUCUCUCUAUUAGAAUCUCCAUGGUUUCUGACUAUAGUCUACAACAUGCAUAUAACUGAUCACCAAAGCCAAAAAGUGCAUAAGCAACUCAUUUAUAGCAAAAAUAGUCGCAAUUCACUUACAUCUUCAAGUUCCUUUGUAUAAGCUUCAGCCUUUUUGACAUUUUCAUCAGUUUCCAUGACCAAUGGACUUCCAACUUCAGUGGAACUCGCCUUAGGAGAAAUCUUAACAUGAAAUUUAGGAUGGUCACCAGACACUCUGUUGGUUUUGCUUUGUUCGGUGUCCUCAUGAUUGCAAACCUGAUACGUAUGAUCUAAGAAACCAGCAAGAAACGAGUUUCGACUCUCUGUUGAAAUAGAAAAACUUAAGAAGGUUCUGUCCAUUUACCGGUUCGGUGACAACAGCUUCGGAGGAUUCGCUGAAACUUCUGAAGUGUCAAGGGUAAGAACAUUACUUCCACAAACAAAACCCAGUCACAGGAGCGAAGGCAGUGGAAUUAUUAGCACUCUUCACCUUUUUCCACCUGGAGACUCAGAGGGCGAUUCCAGUGGACUAGAUGACAUCCCCUGCAAAAUAGACACUCACCAAUUCUAAUGCAUUACAAAAUAGCAUCCCCAUAAUUGUAUUUGCAACACCCUAUUGAAGAGGUCUAAGGUAUUACUUGGAAGUGAAGAGCAAACAAUAGAAAGGAACCUCAGAUGAUUUCCCUUAUGAAUUGAGAAGUGGCUGGUUUUAUUGGUUUACCUGUUCUGUGACAACAGUUUCUGAGGAUUCUCUGAAACUUCUAAAGUGUCAAGAGUAAGAACGUUACUUUCCACAAACAACCCAGUCACAGGAGCAAGUAUAAUGGCGCUAUUAACACUCUUCACCUUUUCUCACUUGGAGACUGAAAGAGCCGUUUCGAUGGACUAAAUGGCAUUAAAUUGGCAUCUGAUCCCUGCAAUAUACACUCAUGGCUUCUAAUGCAUUACAAAGUAGCAUCCCCAUAAGUAUAUUAGAGCAAACAACAGAAAGGAACCUCAUAUGAUUUCCGUUUCAAGGAUGAAUUGGGAAGUGACUGGUUUUCGGUGCUUUUGCUACAAUGAGCUAAUGAAUGUGCUGCAUCACCUCGCAUUGCUGUAAUUUGCUCAGAGUCUCUCAUGGAACUGAUUUCCUCUGUAGGACUAAAACCAAGUUGAUCUUCUUUGGUUCUCGUGGCCCUGCGCACAUUGACAUCAUGAUCUCUUGAGAGUAUCUAUGGUUUCAAAUACCAGGACAUCAAGUCAGGAUGCAGGUUAGACCUCUUCGUUCUCAAGCUAGAAAGAUAAAAAGCCCUCUUGGCAGAAUUAAGAGGGUUACUGUUCUUCACAUCAACAUUUCUGACCCUUGAAUCCUUAAAAGAUUCCUUGCUUGAAUCACUGAUUUCAGGAUUCACACAUAUCUUAACAAUAGGUGUCAACAACUCAUUUAUACUGCCCAUCUUGCAGAGGGAACUGCAAAAGUUUAGCGCAAGCAGAUUAAGCAUAUGCAAAUUAAUGCUGUGUCAAAGGUCUAGUCCACUAUAUGCAAUCUACUUGCUAGCGUUGGCAAUGUCUAAGACGGGACAUGACAUAACAUGAACAGAAUCAAACAUAAAAUUGAUAUGACAUGACAUUGGCGUAUCCUUUCUGUCAUGCGGGGUUAUUUCAGUCUUGAAAGUAUAUAUCAUUUAAAGGAAUAUCACUCUCCCAUGCCAUGUGACCCAAAGGUUCAAACUGAACAUGAACAUAUCAUGCUACGGCAGAUUUUGAACCCCACUUCCAGGCUUGUAGUCUUCUAGCAGAUAAUUUAGUCAUGUUUUACCAGAGACAAAGAUGCCAAUAUCUACUUCAAAGAAUAGUACGAAAAAUUUAAUGAGCUUUCCUGGCCAAUAAUAAAGGGAGACUUAGACUUGAGAGACAAUUGCAAGUAAAGGUUUAUAAUUUCGGCUGAAAGGGCUUUAAUUUCAUCAACAGCAAGCAAAUAAUCAAGAACAUAUCUACAUGUGUUGAUCAAACUAGAAAUAUACAGCAAUUAGGAAAGUGUCCAAUGUCUCAACGCAAACUAUGAUAUACAAUUAAAAUAAAUAAAAAAUCUCAUUUUACCCUAGUUGAAAGUCCGACGGAACAGAAGAGUAAUAACCAGGGCAUCUUUAUAUCGGGAACAAAUAAACUUUCCCUUUUUUUAUUUUGAGUUAGUGUGUGGGUGGGGGAGUGGCAGCAGGGAGGAGAUAACUUAAACAUUACUUGUUAGAUACUGUUAAAUGAAGUACAUGGGAAAAAUAAAAUGCUAGAAUUUGAACAAAAUUUCAAACAGCUCAACAAUUACAACUCGAUUGGGUACGGAUGCCUCACCUCAGAUGAGAAGUGGGUCUCACACUGAUAUGGCUUCCAGUCAGAGGAGGUUGACUUUUUGUUUGCUCCCUUGCUGGUGAAUUUAGACCAAAAAGCAACUUUCCCCCAACUUGAGAAUCCUUGGCAUUGUUUCCCAACCUGUUGCACAUUGCAUGAACCAUGUGAAGGUAUAAAGCAUAUCAAAGAAACUAAAAUCAAAAAGAAAAUCUUCACCUAGUGUCAUUUAGAUGUACAGAAGCAAGUCUUUUGCUGCUAAAUUGAGUAAGCUUUCUCCCAGUUGAUGGUUCUCGAGAAGACUGACUCUUAAUUUCCUCUGAUCUCUUGGAAAACUUUGAAUGGGCUUGUCCAGGCUCUCUACCAGUAAAGAAAGAGGACGAUAUUUAAGUGCAGGUUCUCCGCUUGGGACAUUUACAUGUUACUAAAAGUGAGCUAAGAAGUGCAAAAACAUUAUGCUGUUGACCCAACAAUCUUUAUACUGAACUCUGGAAGUCACCAUAAAAUGCAUCAACAUGAUAGCAAAAACUCAAUGAAUGAGUGCAUCAGACUGAAAUCACAACAACUUGCAUUCCCCUCCUUAAAAAUUAAGCUACGAUGCAUAAGCUUUCUAAAUUUUCACAAAAUCAACCAUCAAGAGUCCAUGUUUCUUAAAAGGAGCCAUUAAUGGCGCAUUGCUCUAAUUUGGCAUGGCAGAAACUUGCCAAUAUCAUCCUAAUAUAGAUUCCCCCUCAUUCCUCUAAUCACUUAAAGGUAAGGGAUAAAUGGGACAACCUGAAAACAGCCAUUUCACUGUCAUGCACUACUUUGCUUGGGAUAAUACAGGCUGUAUCAUUAAGACUUGUCUCAGGCUUGGCCUCUUCAUCGUGAGCCUUAGUAGCAUUCAAUGAAUCAAGAAUAGGUUUAUUGCUUCCAUUUGCCUUGCCUUCUGCUCCUGGCACAUGUGGCACACUUGAACCUUCUGACUGCAUGUUGCCAUGAGAAUAUGUAGCUUCCCCUAUAAUUUCUUUCCUGUUACUCUGCUCUUCACCCAAAGUGGAAUUUAAACUUUUGAAGAUAGACAAAUCUUUUCUUGGAUGCUCUGGGAUGGUACUUAAAUUUUUGUCAACCCCGGGCUGAAUAUGUACCUCUAUUGGGGCUGUUUUGUCUGACAAAUAAUCUUGUUGGUCAGAUCCUUGAGAACACGUGCUGUUUGUCUUUCGAAAGAAGAUUGUUGUGGAAUUGAAAUUCUACAUGCUGCGGACUUUGGCACCCAAUCAUCCAUUCUUGGGUUUGGCAUAGAAGUUGAAGUUACAGAAGUUCCUACUUGAAUCUCUGAUGUACCCACACAGCACGUUGAUUGAAUAUUAUCAAUCAUAGUGUUAUCCUCACAGGAAUUGCCUCAGGAAGGCGUGUUUCCGAGCCCUGUUGCUCAUUCAUCUCCGAUGAUCUCCCUUUGCUUCCUAUAACCUUCUUCCCACCUUGUUCUUCCUUAGUCAUGGGUGAAUCAAGAUUAAAGCCAUCCAACCUGGAUAGCACAAAUGGCUGCUAAGUUCAUAGAUUGCAAUCACAAGUCAUGACAUUUCCCUUCACUUGAAAAUAUAACCUUAUGUAUCAAACAAUAUGCCAUAAUGUAUAAAUUGUGAAGCUGUCUUACCCAUUAAAAUCAAAGGAGAAAGAAAAUCUUUUCUUAAAAUUUCCUUCAUCAGGUGAUUCUGCUUCAUUUCUGUCCUUGUUUGGAGAUUUCUUAGAUAGGCAGGAGAAAUCAAGAUCCGGCAUGUCCACUUUGAAUGAUGAAAACUUGUUAAAGUCAGCAUCCACGUUAAAAUCGACAUCCCUGAAAAAGGUUAUUUAACAAUCAAUCCACAGAAAACAGAGAUAUAUCCCACUCUCAUAACAAAUAAGAUUGUAACUAGCUUCCAUGCAUGUUCACCAUCAUCCAUCAUUUUAAUAAUUUUUGAAGUGGCUGAAUGAUAUGUAAAGCAUGGCUCACUCGAUCACCACGGGCAGUAUUCUCCACAAAGAGGUAAUUGUACACGGGUGAAUAUACGUAACCAACUCAAGUAUGAAGAUAGAAUAUUAAAGUUACAUUCCACAUCCAUACUGGUUUAUUAUCUAGCUGCCCAUACUUUAUGUUUCACUUACAGUUUAUCAAAGUUGAAUUUCUGUGUUUUGCCUUUGCCAACAGUAUCAACGCUAAAAUCCACUGUGUCAUCUUCUGCCACAGACAACGACUUCCAAGAGGUAAGGAACUCCUUUCCAAAUUCGGCAUCUGUUGAAAUCAGAUUUAACAUUGAGCUAUGACCUACAUAUCUGACCUUCAUAAGACAUGGCCAGAAAUGUGUACAAGCAAUCAUCCUAAUCAAUGACAAGGAUGAAAACCAAUUUUAACAUUAAGAAAGCUUUAAUUUGUUUUCAAGUAGAUGAAAAGUAUGCUGCACUAAUUAUUGACCACAAUAUCCAAAAGAGUCAUGUGUCAGGCCAUAUUACAAAAAUAACCUAAACAGAUUAUAUAGGUUUAGGAUUGAGAAAUAUGCAUCCUUGUGGUACCAUUCCACCUCUGAAGCAAAUUUACUGUAUUUUGAGAUUUGUCAAGCUUAUACAGAGUACCUAGUAAUGAUUUAUCCUCUUUCUGAUUCACCACUGCAGUUUCCUUAGGUGAAUCUGCCAUCUGCAAGGGAAAGAGUGAGGAAAGCAUAAGAAAAAAGAGAAUUCCAAUGGCCCUUAGAAUUUACAAAAGACAAGGGAGAUUUUAAUUGCAAACCCAUUAGGUUGGCUAUACUACACAGCAACCUCCUCUCUUCGUAAAAGCAACAUCUCUUUGUUAAACAAUUGCAUCCAUAACAUUUUUGCACUUAUCUUAUGCAGAAGCAUCUAUAAACUAACCUAGGAGGGACCUUAGCCAGUCCAUUAAAGUGAAAAACCCACACAUGACAUGUAGACAGUUCAUAAAGGAGCAGCAUCAUUGACUUAUACAAAGUGGUUAGGUGGAGAGUUGCAAGCUCUAAAUUUAAAACCGUGGGGCCAAAAACACCCAUAUAUACGUGCCACUAUCAUAUAUCUGUGAAGAUUCAUUUUUCAUCCUUCCACAAAUGCAAAGGUAAAGGAUCUCCAAUCCGACAGCAUUGAUAAGAUGGACACCUAAUCAGUACAAUAAAGUAACGAUCAUUUCAAGAAUUCUCUGCCUUGGUUCAAAGGGACAUAAGUCUCUCAUACAUUUGAUAUGAAAUGUCUGAAGGAGUUCAACUAGACUGCAAGUGGAAACCACUAUAGCUAUUGCAAAGGAUGAACAAAUGCAGUAUUAAUAAGUUCAUACGGGGGCAAAGCACAGGGCUAAUCCAGUAUAAUCUAUCCCAAGAAAAGAACGCAGAUGCUAUUUUAACAUGAGAAACCAUAGCAUUGAGUCUUAGCCAAUGAAUUAAUGGCUGUCUUAUGACUGCCUAAAAUAUAUAGGUCCUCCUAUCACAUUCAGAUCAUCUGUUUUCCAGUACAGAGAAGUUCAAUUAAAACGAAUGUAAUUGAAAAAAAAAAAUACAUCAGAACAGCUACUUAUCAUGGCAUCAUUUCUACGAAAGCAGAUGCCAAGUAAUAGCAUUGUCUUUGUAUGUAAAUGCUGUAAGUCAUAGUGAUUUCCUCUAGAUAAGCGUCUACAUUGCGCUCAAACUGCAAGGAGCUAUAUACUUCCAGCAAAAGGCUUACAGCAAUUCUGAACGCUAACUUAUCCAGAGGCUUGUUCCACCCAGUUUCUGAAGCCAAAUGCGCCAGAAUAGUCACGGAGGUAUAUCAGAGAGAGAUAAACGCAGCAAUCAAGAAGAAAUACUUUGCUGCGCCUAACCUACAAAAUCAUAGAUGGUGCUCCAACGAACUCGAUAAAGCCAAUCUACAUUGAUCACAAAGAGGUCUUCCGAAAUCAAACGGACCUACUGUGACGGGAGGGUGGGAGACGCAAAACGAACGAACGCGAAACGGCGAGAGACAACUGAACGCGGAAUCAAAGAGGUGAGAGAGUCCGAAGGAACUCCUCAUCAAAUCCACCAUCGGAAAACUAAGCGCGCUCGCGAAGUACCUCCGCUCAACACUACGAAACAAUCAGCGAAAGCCCAUGGUUCAGAGGCACGGAGCAACGAGACACUGAAGAAGCCACGGCCAGAAGAAGAAAUCGACGGAUUGCGAAAGCUCGAGAUCGAUUCGCAUGUCAACAGUACCUUCCUUGCGAUCGCGACAGGGAGCGAGCUCGAGCGUGGGAGAGAGAUAGAGAGAGAGAUCGAUCGACUGAAUUCGAAUGGAGAUGAGAGAGAAGUAAUCUGGUUUUUCUACAGGUUUUUGAAUGGCGACUCUUUAUAUAUAGAGCGAGACGGAGAGUAGCUUUGAAAGAGGCGGGACCGGAAAAGCGACGGAAAUUGGGCGGAGGUUCACUCCAGCGUCGUGUGUUCGCCGAGAGUUUUCUCGACGGGACUGAGAAAAUCCCGAUUUUGCCCCCUAGGGGAAACAUUUUCACUUAACUCCGUUCAUUUCAAGAGAAAAAAAAACUUUAAAAAAUAUUUUUAUAAGAGUAAUCACUUCAAUUGUUUACAAAAAUUCAUAAAAUAUUCACUAAUUAUUUCAAAUGAUAACAAAUGAUUGUUUUUAGAAAAAUAUAAUUGAAACAAUCCAAUUCUGUAAAUUAAAUGAAAUUUGUCUUGAAAAAAAUCCAAUGAACCUACAUAUCUGAAUCCAAAUAAAUCUUGACCGUCGAUCACGUCAAUCCACACUUGGGAACCACAUGAUCAAUCACCUUGAUGGAUUCAGGGCAUGUAAGCUCAAGUCCAGAUAAGCAUCUACCCUCAUAUUGAAAUUCAAUGUGCUAUUGGUUGAUUACCGUGGAAGCUCAUCUCACAUUCCAAGUGUCACAAAAAAAAUUGGGCAUUUCCUCCAGGGGCAACUUAAAAGUUGGAUUGAGCAGGACUUAGAGAAAUUGACAAGAAGAUGAAUAUCUUAUUAUGUUAUAAAAGAGGAUUUCUUUUUUUUAAGUUGUAUAGUGUUGACAUUUGUCGUACCUCAUCUGCUAUAGGAAUGUUGGGCUUAAAGUACCAACAAAAUACCAACAGCCCAUUGAGCUAGUCUAUCACCGGAGUCCUAUCAAAUACGAGUGGGAAAUUCAAAGCCGCCAGUACACUUAAGCCCAAGCCCGUCCUUUGCGAAUUGAUUUAUUACACAAUUGUCUUUUUUAUGUGUAAUGACAAAAACUAUUAGUUAAACUUUUAAAUAAUAAUUAUUUUUCUUAUGGGGACAAUUUUUUUUUUUUUUUUGUCGACAGUCAAGCAUGGUUUUUUCGUCGGAUUUUGUAAAGCUCGUGUCUCUAAUGUGUAAUUAGAGCUAUAAACGAUUGAGUUGAUUGGCCAUGGAAAUAGGUGAUGACCGAGUUCUGACGAGCUCGGGCGAACGUGUUUGGUAUUGCAUAGUGAGUCGGAUUACCUCUUCAACAAUCCCCCCUCUUUUCUUUCGUUUCGAGAUAGUCUACAACCCUCGACUCCGGCAUUUCUGUCAUCCUGAUGUUCUAGGCCUUAAGAGAGCUGAGCGGACAUUUCGACCGUGUCUUAUGCUGCUAGGCAUCGACCGUGCGAAGGAAGGAGUAGAAGCAAUGAAGGUGAAUUUGAAGGAGGAGCGUGAACUGGAGGAACUAGAGGAAUUGGACAGAGAAUCUCAAAGUAAUCAUGAUAACAUGGAAUAACUGAUAUGGAUGUAGAUUCAGCGCAAUUCCAUUUCUUUAGGAAGCUAGGAGUAUUGAAGAGUCUUCACGUUACUCUAAAUAUGCUUGUAAACAGAGAUUUUCACUGGGUACCUAAGUGUCAGACUAUUGAAAUUGCUCACAAAUUUCAUGAUUGCCAAUGUACAAUAGUCUCAAGCUAGAUUAGUAUCAGACUUUGAAGCACUUUUGUAGCAACUUUCAAAUGAAAACUUUUCAUUCUUCAUCAGGAUUUCAUGGGACUGCCAACAUUUUGGCCACCAUUUAUUUCUCCAUGUUGGAAACGCUAGAACUGCGGAAAGAGAAUGAAUCGGGUGUGGCAGUGAGAACAACAGUUUCAACAUCAAUAACGACAAUGACGGCAGCAUCGACAAACGAAGGCUUCGCGAAAGAUGAUCGGGCUCUGCCUACAUCUUUCUCGUGAUCUCAAUCGGUCUAAAAUUAAUCUAUUCUGAGCAUGAAAACAUUUUGAAAACUUGUCUUCAGUAGUUGUUGAAAAAAGCUACGUCAAACUUCGAAGCUUUCUUGGAAGGAUAUUGCAGGGUUCAGGGAAGGUUCCCAGAAGCAUCUCCUUGCCCAAAAGAAACAAAACAAGAACUGAUAUCAUACCAAAAAAAUGGAGACUUCCUUUUCUUUUUUCGACAGGUAAAGUUACUUUUAUUAUUCCGAACAUGGGACCUGCAACUUGCACGCGCAUUUGAACAAGUACUUAGCCACCAAGUUUGAGCAUUCGAUCUAAUAGUCUUCCAUUGUUAAAAAAAAAAAAAAAAAACCGACUUUCGGUUUCAACCAUUUUGCAAGUUCAGGGAAGGUUUCCAGAAGCAUCUCCUAAUCCAAAAGAAACAAAACAAGAAGUGAUUUCGUAUAUAAAGGGCCCGUUUGGUUCGGCUUUGGGGGAAUGCCAUUUGGAGAAUGCAAAUAUCUUUGAGAGAAAGAGGCUUUCGGAAAUGUUAGACCGUUUGGUAAAUUUUAGCAUUGAAAUGCAACUUGGCAAAAACACCGUUUGGCAAACUUUGCAUUUGGAAUUAGCUUUUGGUAUUUUUUAAUUUCUUUAAAAUCUGAAAUCAAAUCCGGCGGCCGGCCACUGCCGGCCAACCGCCGGCGACCGCCGGACGGCCAGAUCUGGCCGUCGCCGGACCACCAGAUCUGGCCGCCGGAGGUCGCGGAGGCCAGAUCUGGCCUCAAGACCGCCAGAUCUGGCCGCCGAACGGCCAGAUCUGGCCUCGCCUGGUCGCCUGGCUCGCGCGAGACCAGGCGACGCCGGCCGAGGUCGGGCGACCUCAGGCGGCGUCGCUGGCUCGCGCGAGACCAGGCGACGCCGGCCGAGGUUGGGCGACCUCAGGCGGCGUCGCUGGCUCGCGCGAGACCAGGCGACGCCGGCCGAGGUCGGGCGACCUCAGGCGGCGUCGCGUGGCUCGCGCGAGACCAGGCGACCGAAUCUGGUCGGGUGCUCCGAGCACUGCUCAGCCCGUUGCGUGGGUCGCGCGACCCAGGCGACGCCGCCUGAGGCCGCGACCCACGCGACGGCGGUGCGUGGCGACGGCGGUGCGUGGGCGACCAGCUCCAGCUGGUUGAGCUCCGCCGGCUAAAGCUUCGAUCUUGAAGAAACGAUGAAGACGAGGAAGACGAUGAACAGUUACUUUUGAGGGUAAAAGAAGAAAACUAAAUUAUCAAUGAGGGCAAAAGUGGAAGAAAAAAAAAAUCAUUAAACCCCUUCAGCAUGCCGAAAAUGCUGAAUGCCCAAAGCAGGUCCCCACCUGCUUUGGGCUUUCAGCAUUCCAAAGGCAAACAUUUUGCCAAGUAGCCUUUGAAAGCCGAACCAAACACCCUAAAAUUUUUCCCAAGGGGCUUUGGGGGCUCAAAGCCCCUUGGGAAAGCCGAACCAAACGCCCCCAAAAUGGAGACGACUUUUUUUAUUCUUUUUUUUUUUCCGAUAGGUAAGAUACUUUUAUUAGCCCGAUAUAAGGAAAGGGUGGAUCAAAGAGAAUAAAUAAAAUAUUGUGUGCAAAAAAGCAAAGAAAAUAAAAAAGUAAUAAUACUUGGAAUGAGGUAAAUUAAUGCAUAAUGAAAGUUUAAUUCCUUGAUUUCCACGUAUGUUAUGCCAUAAUCACUUUCUUCCGAACUGUUGCACAUGGGGCCUGCAACUGCACGCGCGACAAGCCAGCCAGCUGUGAACGUCCUCAGUUGGCUUCUGCUAAUGGGGCCUUCAACUGCGUGACUGCUUUCACAAGUGUGUCGACCACAACUUUAGUUUUUUAUUUUUUAUCAUCGACCAAUAGCAUUCGAUCUUAUGGUCUUCGUCGUAAAAAAUUGCUACAUCCUGUUUCCACCAUCUUUUCAUAGACCCAUAGAAUUCUCCUGUAACUACAUUAUUUGCUCAUAACGUGUUGACGCGGAAUAUUUUCUGUUUCCACCAUCUUUUCUUAGACCCAUAGAAUUCUCCUAUAACUACAUUAUUUGCUCUUAACGUGUUGACGCGGAAUAUUUCUUUGCUGAAGAUCAUCGAGUGAGAGAGGGAGAGAGGGAAAGAGAGGUCUGCUUAGCUGAGCAAAUUACUGCUAUGGCAAGCUCAGAUGCUGGAACAUCAUUGGGAAGCAAGUACCAAGUGUUUUUUGAGUUUUAGAGGACCCGACACUCGAACUGGAUUUACUGAUGUCCUCUUUCAUAGCUUGUUUGACGCUGGAAUCGACGUGUUUCGAGAUGAUGAAGAACUCCGUGUCGGUGAAAGAAUCGAUGAAUCACUGCUGCAAGCGAUCAACAACUCCAGGAUCUACAUACCGGUCUUCUCUCAGAACUAUGCUUCGAGCCAAUGGUGCCUUUGCGAGCUCGCACAGAUCGUGGCAAACACCUUGAAAUCUGAAGGUAAUAAAGAGAUCCUACCUAUUUUCUUUGACGUGGAACCUAAUGAUGUUAAAUUGAAGACCCCACUAUAUCACAAUGCCAUACUCAAUUUGGAGCACGAGAAGAAGUUGAGCAAUGAGCAAGUAAAUGUUUGGAGAGAGGCCCUCAUGGAGGUUGAUGCCAUAAAGGGGUGGGAGGUGAAGAAAUACAAAGGGUAAGCUAGCUAUUUUCAAGACACUUGUUUCCCCAAUUUUCCUUAACACUUAAUAAUAGAUCUCAAAAUUCUAGUAUGAUUGAGGUGGGAGUUUUAUUAUAGUAAUACUAAAUGAUGAAUCUUUACGUCUGCAAAACAAAAUGUGAAGACAUAAUAUUCAACUUCUACAGUUGUUGCUUGACAAUUGCAUAAAUUUUUAUACAACAAUUUUGCUCGAAAAUCCCAAGAUUGCUACUCUCAUGUUGAAAUCAAGUUGAAUUUCGGGUCAUGACAUAGCAUCAACGUUGUCAAGGGCCUAAAAGUAUGUUUUGGAGAGACCUUAAUCUCCAAUAUGGACUUUUAGAAUAUCACUCCUAGAUUUAAGGUCCCAUUACUUAUCAGAUCAUUGUGUAGUUUAUCCAGUGUUUGAAUGACAUCACUUCUAGUUAGGUAAUCGUGAAUUUUCUCACUAAAAUGGAUUUUCAUUGUGGCAGCCACGGAGAACUAAUCAAAUUGGUAGUUGCAAAGGUCGUGGAAUGUUUGAAGUCAAAACAUAGAUUGGUGACUAAAUAUUUAGUUGGAAUUGACAAUCAAGUAGUAGCAGUAAGCAAAUUAUUAGAUGUCAAUUCCGAUGGUGUGAGACUCGUUAAAAUUUAUGGCAUGGGAGGUAUUGGAAAAACUACACUUGCCAAGGUCAUCUUCAACCUACUUUCUUCUCAUUUUGGAAAGUGUUGUUGUUUCCUUGAAGACGUUCGAGAGAAGUCAUCAAGAACCGAUGGCUUAGUUGACUUGCAAAAAAGGUUACUAUCCGAAAUCGGUCAUCCUGUAGGAACAAAGAGCAUUGAUGAAAUUGAUUAUGGAAUUAAGAGGAUUGAAGAAAUACUUCGUAAUAAGAAAGUCCUUAUUGUACUCGAUGAUGUUGAUAACAACAAACAAGUGGAGAAAUUAGUUGGAAACAGUACUUUAUUUUCUGGAUCCAGGAUAUUGAUUACAACUAGAAAUAAAGAUAUCUUGCAAGUCAAUAGACAAAAGUAUCAGAUUUUGGAUUAUGAAAUGGAGAUGAUGAGUGCUGGACAUGCACUUGAGCUUUUCAGUAGUCAUGCAUUUAACACAGACUUUCCUUCAGAUGAUUACGAUUAUCUUUCAAGGGAGAUUGUAUUUGCUACUGGGAGACUUCCGUUGGCUCUUGAGGUGAUUGGUUCGUUCCUCUGCCACAAAUCGCAAGAACAAUGGAAAGAGACAUUGCAUAAGUUAAGAAGAGCACCUCAUGAGGAUGUUUUUGGAAAGUUGAAGAUUAGCUAUGAUGCCUUAAAUUUCGAGCAACAACAAAUUUUUCUCGAUAUUGCAUGCUUUUUCAUUGAUGAAGAUAAGGCAAAUGCAAUCUACCUAUGGAAAGGUUGUAAGCUUUCCCCAAAUACAGGAGUUGCUGCCCUCAUUGACAUGUCUUUGGUAAAGAUUGUGGAGAAUGAUAAGUUUUGGGUGCACGAUCAACUUAGAGAUAUGGGAAGAAAAAUUGUUCUCCUAGAAGAUCCAGAAAAUCCUGAGGAGCGGAGUAGGAUAUGGAUUUGUGAGCAAGCUCUUAAUGCAAUAAGACCAAAGCAGGUAAAGCACUUAUGGAGAGAUCUAACUAGUUUUUCCAAUAUAUUCCACUCCACUGUACCUUCUUGGGUUUUUUUUUUUUCCUUUCCUUUUUAUAAUCCUUUGGCUCUAUGAGAUAGAAUAUUGAUAUCGCUCAUUUCCUAUUCUCAUUUGUAGAUAAACAAGAAAGUUCAAGCACUAUCUCUUUAUUCAUCUAGACAAAGUAUGUGUGAUGUCUUUGUUUGAAUUAAAUGGAUUGGAAGGUUGGAACAUCUAAGAUUCCUUAAAUUAUCUCACUUAGCCCUUGUUGGAGAUGCAACAUAUCGCCUUCCCAAUUCAACAUUGAUUUCUUUGAGUUAUUUUCUGCAAAAAUGGACCAACACGUGCCUAAAGAAUUUAGUCGUUCUUGAAUUUGUCAACGUUACUUUCCUUGGUAAUUCGGAAAUCUCAAUCAAGGUGCGUAAUAUUCUUAUUCCUAUUUUAUUUUCUUGGAAAGUAAUAUUCGAUUGUUCAUCUAUUGAGUAUUGCUUUCAUUUUGACAGAUGGCAACAAAAUUGAAAGUUCUUUCUUUCAAAUAUUGUCAAAACAUAUUCAAAACACCUGACUUCUCUAGAUGCCCGAAUUUAGAGAAGCUUACUUUCGAACGUUGUGACAAUUUGAGGAAAAUCAAUGGCUCUAUUGGGAAGUUGAAGCGUCUGAUUGAUUUCAAGAUUGGUAGCUGCAAUUCUCUUAAACAUUUGCCUGAAGAAAUCGGUGACCUAGUGAAUCUACAGUAUUUCUUUGUACGCUGUAAUGAAAUGAAGAAACUCCCAAAUUCCAUGUGGAAGUUGAAAUUAUUACGUGAGUUGUUCUUUCAAGGUUGCACUUCUCGUAAUUUAGAUUCAGCAAAUUCAUGGGAAUUACCUUGUGUUAUUGGAAAGCUCCAGAAUCUGGAAGUGCUUCAAGUCAUUAGUUCCUCUUUAAAAGGUCGAAUUCCUUCUGAAAUUGGAAGUUUGCCCUUUCUAAGAAUCUUGAAUCUAUCAAGAACUCAUGUAUGUGAACUUCCAGAGACCAUCAGCAUGCUUCCUUGCCUACAAAGAAUUGAGUUGAUGGAAUGCACUAAUAUUCAAGAGUUGCCGACCCUCCCAACAAGUUUAACCCAUCUAAAAGUGUCAUCUCAACUGUUGCGGGUAGUCUCGGAUCUUUCGAACUUGACUAAUUUGGUUGAGUUGUAUCUAGUUGAUGAUGGAAUAGUAAGAGAUAAACUUUGUAUCGAUGAGUUACAGUGGAUUGGGAAGUUAUCCAAACUGACCAAAUUGAGCUUUGGAUUUCACAAUGUCCCUAUUCCUAUUGAGAUGGCUUCCCUUCCUGUGCUGAACGAACUUUAUUUGGAUGGAUUCAACCUACAAACCUUUCCGCAACUACCACUAUCUCUGGAAAAGCUAACGCUUAGAAAUUUCAAUUCAAUUGUGCCACUCUCUCUGAACCUAAGAAAUUUGUUAUAUUUAGAGCUGUAUGAUUCUCCAAUGCAAGAAAUACAACUUGAUGGGCUUCAACUUCCACAGCUAAAGAAGUUGUGGGUGGAAGGCUGGCAACACCUAGAAAGGUUGAGGCUAUCAAGAAUGAGGAAGCUGAACAAUGUCAAGGUGAAAUUGUGUUAUGAAGUUAGUUGAGAUCCAAUUUUCUUGGGUGUUCGAAUCACUGGAGGUAUUGACUAUUACCAAUAGCGAGUCCUUGGAAAGGAUAGUUUACGAUAAUGAAUUGAUUAGUUGUGAAGAGAGGCUAAUUUUUUCAUCGACGGUCUUAAAUAAGUUGCGUUUUCUCUACAUGUGGAUGUGCCCUAAGAUACUCGACGUUCAAGUUGUGGGUACGUCGGAAUUGUGGGAAAACUUAAUCAUUGAGGAUUGUCAUUACUUGCAACGUCUCGGUGGUUUGUCAAACUUAAAGAACCUAAAGUGUUUAUCAAUCAAGGGCUGCGAGAGGCUACGGGAUGUCGAGGGCGUCGACGAGUUGGAGUUUUUGAACCGUUUAAUACUUGAUGAUUGCAUAUCGUUGGAAAGGUUGAUUGAUGUGUCAACCACCAAACUGCCAAAUGAUUGCCAGGUAGAUAUCGUUAGGGGCAAGAGAUUACCUGGGGUUAAGAAAGGAUUAAGCUGCUUCACCCAGUCCUUCAAGCAUUAUAUGGCGAGUCUUGGAUCAUUCACUCUAUUUCUUUUUUAUAAUUUCUUGACGCAACCGUCCACGAACACCAAUUCAACUCUAAGGUAGAUUUGUAAUAAUGGUGAAAAAUUAAAAAAUAAACAAAAAUCAAUUAAUAUUUGAUCUGACUUAUUUUAAAACCCACUCGAUAUAAGUUUGUUUUAUUUUCAGCUCACGUUUUCUCACUUUCUUUUCUUUUCUUUUCUUUUUUAUGAGAAAGUUCUAUAGUGCAGCAAAUCUAUGGGACAAGGUCAGCUUUUAUCAAAAGUCAUUGGAAAAUUUGCAAUUUUUAGAAAAAAAAAUAUAAAUUAACUCUGAAUAUCUCAUUAAAAUGUUAUUUUCACUUUAUAUGAAAUGAAUUGAUUAUUUAGUAAUUUUUAUGGAAUACACUCCACUUUAGUGUCCUUUCUUACUUAAUACUAUUCAUUAUGGAGAUGAGUUUAGUGAUUUGCAAUUUCCACAAUGAAAAUAGAACACUAAAAGAAUCCUAUACUCAUUGCACAACUUCAAUAAGAAUUUUUUGAGGGAAUUCUUUCAAGAACACAACUUAAAUGGUCCACGGAUCCACAAAUCGACUGACUUAUGUUAUUGAUGGAGUUUAGGAUGCAUGUUCCAAAAGCAUCUGGAAAUAUUUAUUAAGAUUUUUCAUUCUAAAAAAAACAAUGAAAAUCUAAUUUUUGAAAGUCUGCAUCCUCCCCGGUUUUUGACCGUCUUUGUUAAUGGCCACUUUAAACAUCGUUCAGACAUUUAUUUGUUCAGUUGUGAGGCAUUUCAUUUCAUUUCAUUGACCUGCUUCCACUACACUAGAUAGAGAAGGGGAAAAUGAGGAGGAAAUGCUUCGUCUACUAAAUAAAUAAAUAAAUAAAAAACAUAAUGUCGUACUAAUGUCAUGGACAUAGGUAGCAUACGAGUCAAAGACAGAUGGCUGUGAUGUAAAAUUGUUUACAUUUGGUGAAAUGGAAAAUCAAAUUUGUUUGAUGUGCAUAAUCCACAUGUACAAUUUCGUUCUAAUCCUACAUGAUUUACGACAUUUUCUUGUGCGAUAUUGUUUCCUCUUCUAUAUUGAUCCUUUUCUCAUAUUUCAAUCUCAACAAAUAUAGCCAAGACUUGUAUGUAUGACUUUCAUCAGUAUCUUUUGAGGAUUUUAAAGCAACUCCUAUCUAUUUGAUUGCAUUAUUUUAAUCAUGUCAUUCCUUUUUCGAAAGCUUUCUCCUAAAAUUUAUUAUGAUUUUUAUUUUUCAGGAAUCAGGCUUUGAUUUGACAACAUAUUUCGGACGCUUGUGAAGUUCUGAAGGCAACCCGCACGAUAAUUGUUAGAAUGCAGGGACGGAAUUAGCAUAAUAUCUCAUCGGGGUCAAUGCACUGAAGAGUCCAUAGGUUUCCAAUAAUGAUUUCCAGUACCGGGGCAUCAACUUAGGAUGCAGGUGUGACCUCAUCAUUUUCAAGCUAGAAAGAUGAUUUACCCUCGUGGCAGAAUUAAGAGAGUUGAUGUUCUUCACAUCAACAUUUCUUCGAAUCCUCACAGGAUUCCUCGCUUGAAUUAAUUAUUUCAGGAUUGUCCCAUCUCUUUUCGAUUGGUCUUAGACAACUCAUUCAAAUUGCCUGUUUUGCAUGAAGAAUUGCAAAAAGUUUAGCAUAGGCAGAUUAAGCAUAUGCAGAAUAAUGUUAUGUGAAAGGCCUCAUCCAAUAUAUGAAAUCUACUUGUUAAAGCUAGCAAUCUCUCCAAGACGAGAUAUGACAUAACAUGAACAUCAUCAUAUGUAGAACAAAAAUGGCAUGGCAUUGAUACAUCAUACUCUCUCAUUUCACGUGACCCAACAUGAAUAUGUCAAGCAACAGCACAGUGUGAGCCCUAUUUCCAGGCUUGUAUCUUCUAGUAGCUAAUUUAGUCAUACGUAACCAGGGACAAAGAUGUCACUAUCCUCUUUAGAGCAUAUUAUGGUGAAUUUAAUAUAAGCUUUCGUGGCAAAUAAUAAUGGAAGACUUAGACUUGAGAUACAAUUGCAAGUGAAAGUUUACAAUUUCAAUAGUUGAUAUGUAUAUCUAUUUUCUUUACAUAAUAUACAUUGCCAAAAUAAUUAAUCACGGUAGACAGUAGAUGAUAUGUAUUGUUGGUUGAAACGUUAACGCAAGAUUGGCUGUGAUUUUAUUUCUUCAGGAAUCACGUUUUGAUCAGAUUUGGACAUGUUUUGGAGGCUUGUGCAAUUUUGAAGACGACUCGGAUGAGGAUCUUUAGCAUGCAGGGACGGACUGGCAUAUCAGUUUAGUGGGGUCAAUGUACUGAAGAGUCAAAGUUUCUAAGAAUGGUUUCAAAAACCGGGACAUCAAGUUCGGAUGCAGGUGAGACCUCAUCAAUUUCAAGCUCGAUAGAUGAAUUGCCCUCGCGGCUGAUUCAAGGGAAAUGCUGUUCUUCACAUAACAUUUCUGAUACUUGAAUCCUUGUAAGAUUUGUCGCUUGAACUAGUUACUUCUGGAUCAUCGCAUAUAUUUUCGACUAGUUCUAACAACUCAUUCAAAUUGCCCGUCUUGCAUGAAGAGCUGCAAAAAUUUAGUACAAGCAGAUUAAGCAUUUGCAAUAUAAUGUUGUCCAAAAGGUCUAAUCCAACAAAUGAAAAUUACUUGUUAGAGUUGGCAAUGUUUCUAAGACAGUGAUGAUACAACAUGAACAGCAUUAUACAUAGAACAUAUGUGACAUGACAUCGAUACCUCUUUUCAAUAACUAGGAGUUAUUUCAAUCUUAAAAGUAAAUGUUAUUUGAAGGACUAUCCCUCUCCCAUUUUAUGUGACUUAGAAGGUUCAACUCAAAGUUAAAUGAAUCUUACUACAGCAGAUGAUGAACCCUACUUCCAAGCUCGUAGUCUUCCAUUAGAUAAUCCAGUCACAUGUUACCAAAGACAAAGAUGUCAAUAUCCUCCUUAUAGCAUAUUAUGAUGAAUUUAAUAUGAGCUUUCUUGGCAAAUAAUAAUAGAAGACUUAGACUUGAGAUGCAACAGCAAGUAAAACUUAAUGAUUUCAGCUGAAAAGGCUCUAAUUUCACCUAGCAACCAAAUGAUGAGAGAACAUCAAAAGAUUUUUUUACACAUAUCUACAUGGGUUGAUCAAAUAGUAAUAUAAAGCAAUUGGGUGAGUCUCAAAUGUCUCAAUGGAAACUAUGAUAUACAGUCAAACAAAAAGUAUCUCAUUUUACCCUAGAUGUCCAUUCAAUAGCAGAAGAGCGAUAACCAGGGCAACUUUUUAUGGGGAGGAGGUAAAAUCCUUCCAGUCAUCACCUCUGAGGGGCGGGGGUGGCAGCGGGAAGAAGAUAACUUACACAUUACUGACUCACUGUCAGCUACUGUUAAGUACAUGGGGAGAAAGAAAUCAGUAGAAUUUGAGCAAAAUUUCAUUCAGAUCUAAGGUUACAAUUUGAUUGGGUAUAGAUACAUGACCCCAGGUUGAGAAGUGCUUUUCACACUGACAUGGCUUCCUGUCAAAGGAGAUUGACUUUUUGUGUGCUCCCUUGCAAGCGAAUUUAGAUUAACAAGCGACUUUCUCUCAACUUCAGAAUCUUUGGCUUUGUCUCCCAACCUGUUUAACAUUGCGUAAACCAUGUGAUGUUAUAAAGCACUCCAUGUCCAAUCAAAGAAACUGGAACAAAAUAGAAAAAUUUCAUCCUUUCUCAUUUAGAUGCACAGAAGCAAGUCUUUUACUAAUAACUUGAGUAAGCUUUCUCCCGGUGAUAGUUCUAGAGAAGACUAACUCUUGAUUUCCUCUGAUCCAUUGAAUAAAUUUGAGUGGGUUUGUCUAGGCAUCCUACAGGAAAAGAAAGAGCACAAUGCAUGAGCUGCAGGCUCUCUGCUUGGGACAUCAACAUGGUAGUAAAAGUGAACUGAGAAGUGCAAAAAUGUAAUGCAAUCAAUCCACACAAUUUUCUACUCAAAUCUGGAAAUUAUCAUCAAAUGCAUUAACAUGAUAGCCAAAACCCAAUGAAUGAGUGCAUCAAACUGAUGACCACAAGAACUUGUUGUGUUCCUGUCCUUGGAACAUUGAGCUACAGAUGCAUAUUCUUCCUAAAUUUUCAUAAAAUCAACUAUCAAGUCCAUGUUUCUUAAAAAGAGACAUUAAUGACUCAUUGCUCUUAGUAAAUGGCAUAAACUUGCCAAUGUUAUCCUCUUAUAAGUUUUCUGCCCUCUCAUUCCACAAAUCAGUUAAAGGUAAGGGAUAAAGUAGGGUCAACCUGACGACAGCCAUUUCACCGUCAUGCAUUACUUUACUCAGAUGAAGAUUUGUGGCAGGCUUGGCCUCUUCUAUAUCAGCCUUUGUAGCAUUCCAUGUAUCAAGAAAAGGUUUACCGCUUUAGUUUGCCUCACCUUCUGUUCCUGGAACAUGUGACAUACUUAAACCUUCUGAACGUACGUUGCCACAAGAAUAUGUGGCUUCCCCUACCAUUUGUUCCAUGUUACUCUACUCUUCAUAUAAAGCAGAAUUUAAACUUUUGAUGAUAGACAAAUCUUUUCUCAGAAGCUCUAGAAUGGUACUUAAAUUUGUAUCAGCCCUGGGGCUGGAUGUGAAACUUCUCUUGGUACUGUUUUAUCUGAUGUACAACCUUGUUGAUCGGAUUCUUGAGCGCACGUACUGUUUGUCCUAUCCAAAGAAGAUCGUUCUAAGAUUGAAUUUCUACAGACUGCAGAUAAAGUUAGACAUAGAGUUGAAGUUACAGAAAUCUCUACCUAGACUUCUGAUGUUACUCACACAACGUGUUGAUUCAUCAUUUUCAAUGACAGCUUUAUUUUACGGUCUGGAAUUGCCUCAGGAAGGAGACUUUUCAAGCCCUGGUGCUCAUUCAUCUCUGAAAAUCUCCCUUUGCAUCCUAUGACCAUCUUCCCAACUUGUUCUCCCUCAGUCAUGGAUGAAUCAAGAUUAGAGCAGUCCAACGUGGAUAGCACAAAUGACUACUAAGGUCCUAAAUGCAAACACGAGUCAUGAAAUUUGUUUCGAAUGUUUCCUUUUUUUUUGGUAUGAUAUUGUUUCCCCUUUUAAAUAGAUCCCUUCUCGUACUUCAAUCUCAACAAAUGCAGUUAAAACCUACAUAUAUGACUUUUAUCGGUAUUUUUCAAGGAAUUUAGAACAGCUUCUAUCUAUUUUCUUGUGCAUGGUAUUCAUUAACAAAUAGGUCAAACACUGGAUAUUAGUUGAUAUGUAUAACUAAUUGGUUUGACUGCAUAAUCUCAAUCAUUUCUUUCCUUUUCUGAAACUUUCAUGGAAGUGGUUGCGAUUUUAUUGUUCAGGAAUCACACUUUGAUUGGACUACAUGUUUUGGACCCUUGUGAAGUUUGGAAGACAAGUCGUGCAAUGGUUAGCUUGCGGGGAUCGAGCUAGCAUAUUUCUAAGAAUGAUUUCAAAUUCCAAGACAUCAAGUUAGGAGGCAGGUGAGACCUCAUUUUGAGGGAGUACUGUUCUUCAAAUGACAUUUAAAAGAUUCUUUACUUGAAUUAGUGACUUCAGAAUUGAUGCAAAUCUUUUUUGUUGGUUUUGACAACUCAUUCAAAUUGCCUGUCUUGCUUGGAGAAUUGCAAAAGUUUAGUACAAGCAGAUUAAGCAUAUGCAGAAUAAUGUUGUGUCAAUGGACUAAUCCAAUAUACGAAUUCUACUUAUUAGUACUGGCAAUGUCUCUCAAACAUGAAUAUGUCAGGCAUCCUGCUUCUAGCCUUGUAGUCCACUGGUAGUUACUUCAGUCACACUUUACCGUUGCUGUCGGCCCAACCACCACUGACGCCAAGAAGAGGAAAGGAAACUCAGAGGGUUGCGAAGAAGAGGAAAAUAAGAAGAGAGCCUAGAAGUGUGAUUAGUUCCAGUGCGGUCGGUUGUGUCUGCAGCUCGUCGUCACCCAACCACCACCGUUGCCGAGAAGAGGAAAGGAAGCUCAGGCGGUUGUGGAGAAGAGGAAAGGAAGAAGAGGGCCUGGAAGUGUGAUUGGUUCCAGUGCAGCCGAUUGUGUCUGCAGCUCGUCAUUCCGUCAUUCGCCGUCGCUGGGCCUAGUUGGCCGACUCGCCGUCAAAAACAAGGUGAGCCUCACUCCCCCACCCCGCGCUUGCUUGCUUCUCGUACCCUGUAUUUACUUCUACGAACUUAAAAUAGCUAUUUUCGACGUGCGGGUACUUCCCGAUUUCGGCUUUGCAGGCAGGUGGUGAUCGGCAGCAUCAUUCGGGCCUAUCGUUCGCUUAUUGGUUUUGGUGGGGUUUGGCGGUGUUCGAUUUGAACGAAUCUUUGCGAGGUUACCAAAUCGAUGUAAGUGUCUUCACGAAUCUUCGAUUCAUUUUUUUUUUCUGUCUUUUGUUUGGGGGGUGGGGGGUUGGUAGUGAUGGCAGGAGCGCUCUCUGGUCGUCCGAUUAGAUCUGGUCUACAAUGCUAGUCCUUUUGCUGAAGUGAUUUUUCUGAUCGAUUCUCUAAUGUACUGAUGUUGAAGUUUAUUGCAAAUCGAUUUUGCUGGCUUUGUUGCUCCGGUAUAUUCUCCCCCUGUUUCUCUCUAUUGCUAAUAGAUUGCUACUUGUUGAUAGGAGAAAUUCGAAUUAUUUUGAGUACUUGUUGUCCUUCUGUCUAUUACCCCUUAGAAAGAGAGAGAAUAAUAGUAGAUUACAUGUGGUUAACCCAAAUGGUUGUUUAUGUGUCAACAUAUAUUGUAAGUUGGGACAAUACCUUUCAAGUGUACCUAAGUUUACGAGAACCCAUUGUGAUCUUGCAGUUUAAUAAUGCAACAGAAUGUGUCACUUGGGGGCUUAUGUACUUGCAGCAUGUAAUAUGGUUGAAGUACUAACUUUUAGUUGUGAAUGCUGAGAUCUUUCAUCAUGUAAUCUCAAUUUUUUAGUGCUUUGAAGUCUAGACUUGAUAUUACUUACUUUUAGGCUUUUAGGAUACCUAUUACUUACUCAUAGUUUGUCAUACUAUUUUAUUUUAAUUUUAUGAAAUUUACUCAUUCCUAUAUAAAUUAAUUAACUUCAUAUGCAUUACAUCACAAUGAACUUUUGAGACCUUUAGUUUAAUAUCGUCAAAGAGAGAUAUCUGAAAUACUUUUAUUGUCACGAGAAGAAGGACAAGAUCUAUAGUGUGGGAACACUAUAAAUAGACUCUUAAUCAACAAAAAGAUGAAUGUAUACAUUGUGGGCCUUUAUUGUCCAGGGACCGGUUCAAUGCAUCGUCAUCUAGCCAGAUGCAAGCACUUUCCAUACGCAAAAGUCGAGAAAAGGCAAUAGAGUGCAUUGGGUCAGGUUGUUGGGGUCAGUAGUUCUUCUAGUCCAUGGAAAUUUGACCAAGAAUCUAAUAGAAAAGAAUUAGCAAUUAUAUUUAUUCUUGAUGAAUUGCCUUUCAAGUUGGUAGAGUGUGAGGGUUUUCGGUGAUUUGUUAAUAAAAUCCAACUAAACUUCAUAAUCGCCUCGAGUAACACUUUGAGGCGUACAGGGAAGAAAGAAGUAAAUUGAAGAAAUAUUUAAUUGAGACAUCUCCUAGAGUAUGCCUUACAACUGACACUUGGACCUCGUGUUUUAUCUUUGUCCACUUGAGCUUUUGCAAAUGUGCUUUGGAAUUUCAAGGAUGAGCUUACCCGAUUUGUACUGGUUGUUUGAGAACCUCAUUGGAACAAAAUCAGAUCGUGCGAUUUCCCCUUUUUUGGCCAACACUGAGUUUGAUUUAUUAGGAUGCUUGUCAUGCUAUUUAGAUAUAGUAGAGCUACCCAAUGUCAGGACAUAUGCACGGGUUGAUAAUUGUUAAUGUUCAGAGCUAAGCUUGUGCUAAAGUUUAUGCGUAAGCAAUGUAAUCCACAAAAAAAAACCCCCAAAAACCAAAAGCCCAACUCGGUCUAGUUUUUUUGUUUAGGGUCUUAUGUGUUUUAGGUCGGGUCAGAGUGUGCCCCUCAUGAUGGGUCGGAUAACAUCAAAAUCCAACCUGACCCGACCUGACCCAUUGACACCCUUAUUCUACGUAGUUGAACACUAGUCAAGGAAGUAUAUGCAUCGUGUAAAACAAACAAAAAAUGGGAAGAUUCCCAAUGCUCAUCUUCCCAACCUUUUUGGAACGACUAGCUAAUUAUGAGAUGAUUUGGUCUGCUUACCAAGAAAAAGUUAUAAUUAUUGUUUGGUGGUACUACAAUCAUCAUUUGAUACCAAAAAUUGAAGCAACCUCUUUUUUAUAUUUUUAUUAGUAUUAUCUUUUUAAUAUUCAGCAACAUAUCUUUUUCAUUGAUUAUUUUUUUCCUUCCAUUUUCCAUAGAAUGGAAAAGCAAAAAGCACGUAUCUUUUUCAAUCUCAACAAAUUCCGUUAAAACCUACAUAAAUAAAUAGAAACUAUACUAGAGUCCUGGAAAGACAAUAUAUAGAUUAAACACGGUGCUUGAUUUGUUUGCGUAAUUUUAAUCAUUUCAUUCCUCUUUUGAAACUUUCAUGAAAGAUUGGUUGUGAUUUUAUUUUUCAGGAAACAUGCUUCGAUUGGACCUAAACUUGUUUUGGAAGGCUUGGGGUCGAGUGAUGAUUGUCAGCAUGCAGGGACUGACAAGCAUUUUAUAUCAACAUUUUGGGUGACAGGACUCUCUCAAGUCUCGACACUUCUUGCAGUUGCACUUGCUUACCCCGUGAAUUCUUGAACUUUUGUUCAUGGUGGCGGUCGAAGACACCUGGUCGACUCGUUGUGGCUGCUGAGUCCGGUUGGUGUCACAACCGAGUGGAAUUGAAGAAGCCGGUCUCUUUGACGCCUCUUGACUCAUUAGGGCCAUGCUGCAUUUCCAGUUUUCGCCAUCGCCAUUUCUAUUUCCCACGCUUGUUUCAGUUCUCUUUGCUCUUCUUCCUGUGGGUCUCUUCCUGUCUGCGAUUUGCUUGACCAGAAUUCCAUGGACAAGAUAGAAUGGUUUGUUGGGGUUCUAAGUCGUUUCUUUAAUUAUGGAUUGCUUUUUAGCUGUCACAACUGUUUUUGGAACGAGAUCAUUACGGAGCAAUGCAGGACAAGGACUUCGUCUUCACUCUGUCUAACGGCAUGAGACAGAGGAUCUUAUCAUUCCAUGGUUUAUUGGAUUUGAUAUUGGAAUGAGAAUUUAAAUUUCUUUUGCGAUCCUGACUUUAUUCUCUCAACGGUGAAGAGUCUGAAUGUCUGCUAAGAAUGACUGACUUCAAAUACCAGAUUACCAGGACAUCAAGUUAGGAUGCAGGGGAGACCUCAUCAUUUUCAAGCUAGAUAUAUGAAUUGCCCUUGUGGCUGAUUAAAGAGAGGUACUCUUCUUCACAUCAACAUUUCUGAUCCUAAUAUACUCAUUAAUUCCUUGCUUAAAUCAGUUACUUCAGGAUCAAUGUGUAUCUUUUCAAUUGGUUUCGACAGUUCAUUCAAAUUGCCCAUCUUGGAUGGAGAACUGCAAAAGUUUAGUACAAGCAGAUUAAGCAUUUAUGCUGCGUCAAAGGCCUAAUCCAAUGCACGAAAUCUACUAGUUAUAGCCAGGAAUGUCUCAAAGACGGGAUAGGACAUGACAUGAACAGCAUCAUACGUAGAACAGAUACGAUAUGACAAUUGAUACAUCUUUUCUAUAAUCAUAAGUUUUUUGGGCCUUAUAAGUGACCAUUGUCUCAAAGAAUAUCACUCUCCCUUUUCAUUUGACUCAAAAGGUUCAACUCAAACAUGAAUAUCUCAGGCUAGCUAGAGCAGAUUGUGAACCCUACUUCCAGGCUUGUUGUCUUCUAGGAGCUGAUCUAGUCAUAUGUUACCAGAGACAAAGAUGUCAAUAUCCUCUUUAAAGCGUACUAUGGUGAAUUUAAUUGAGCUUUUCUGGAAAGUUAUAAUGGAAGAACUUAUACUUCAGAUACAAUUGCAAGUAAAAAUUAGUAGUUUCAGCUGAAAUGCUAUCAUUUCACCAAUGGCAAGAAAAUGACCAUGGACGUUGGAAGAUUUUUCACAUAUGUAAACAUAUGCAAUUAGGAGAGUGUCUGAUGUCUCAAUGCAAACUACGACAUACAAUUGAACAGAAAAUAUCUCCUUUUACCCUAGUUGGAAGUCCAUUGGAUAGCAGAAGAGUGAUAACCAGAGCACCUUUAUAUGGGAAGGAGGUAAUAUUUUUCCCUUUUUUUCCCCUCUGUAACUAAACAUGAUCAAUGAUAGGAUUAUUCUCACAGUCAGGAAUUGUCUCAGGAAGACGAGAUCUUGAGCCCCAGUGCUGGUUUAUCUCUAAAUAUCAUCCUUUGCUUCCUAUAACCUUCUUUCCACUUUGUUCUCCCUCAGUCAUGGGUGAAUCAAGAUUAAAGCCAUCCAACCUGGAAAGCCUAAAUGACUGCUAAGAUCCUAAAUUGCAAUUGCGAUUCAAGUUUGACCACCAAAAAAAAAAUCACGGGUCAAGACAUCUGUUUCAAAUGUUUCCCUUCAGUCGAAAAUAUAAUCUUAUGUAUUGAAGAAUAAUCCCAUAUGGAUGCAUUUUGAAGCUGUCUUGCUCAUUAGACAAAGAAAAGCUUUUAUUGGAAUUUCCUUCACUAGGUGAUUCUGCUUCAUUUCAGUCUUCGUUGUUUGAAGAUUUCUUAGAUGGGAAGGAAAAAUCAAGAUCUGGCACGUCCACUUUGUGUUGGAGAAAUCUUUCCAGAAGAUUUUGAAGCUGACAAAACAUUUCUAUCAGUCUAGUCUUGAUAUCAUUGGUUUAAAGUCUCAAGACUUUGUAAUCUAAAGUCUCAAGACUCAAGACUCAAGACUCAAUAUUAUUCUCACUGACAGUCUUUUUAAUCCAGUGGCGUAGGAUAUCCGAAGCCGAAGUAUAUGGUUGGGGAUUUGAUCCAAUCCUCUGGAAUAGAUACCUUGGUUGGAUAAUCAUUUUUUAUUCUUUUGAUUCUUAUCUAAGAUCAAUUGAAGAUCUGAUGGUCGACGAAACAUUCUUGGAAUGUUCUAUUCUUGGAAACCAAAAUCCUGAUUGUAUGGGCGAACAGGAUUGAUGGGCUAUCAUCAGAUUCCUUAAAUAGCUCGGAUGAUCUUCUUAAUUGAUUCCGUCCAACGGGUAGAUUGGAGGAAUUCCUUUGGUAAGUGCCAACGGCUAUGAUGGCAUAAAGGAGUAUAAAAGGAAGACGUUCUAGUUGUUCUAAGUGUGUGAUCGAUAGAUAAAUUCCAGAGUCUGAAGAACCUUGAUUGUUAGUCGAGACAGUUCGAGCGAAAUUGUAUACACAGAGAGUGGUUGUACUUGGUGAUACCUUGAGCGAGUGUAGUAGAUCAUCUACAUCGAGAAAUCAAGGAAGAUCAACACUGUAACAUCUCUUUGUUCAUAGUGGAAUCCAGCCAAUCGGCUGUCAGUGCAGAAGAGUGGACGUAGGCUUGAAUCAAGCCGAACCACUAUAAACCUCGUGUUUAAUUCUCUCUUUCCUUUACUCAGUCUUACGAUUGUUUUUAAUCCUUCAUCUGUUUAAGUAUUGCGCAAACUGCAAGAAAAUAUUCAUAAACCUAUUCACCCCCCUCUAGGUACUCGUACUAGCAUUAUCACUUUGAACAAUGACAAUUUGUCAUAAUCAGUAUCCAGGUAAAAUGGACAUCACUGAAAUAGGUUUUUUCAUAUUUAAUCCACAGAAAGCUGAGAUAUAACCCUCUCUCAUAAUAAUGGAGCUUGCAAACAAGCAUUCAUGCAUCUUCAGUGUCCUCCAUCGUUUGGAUGAUAUUUGAAGUGGUGGGAUGUAUGUAAGGCAUGGCUCACUUAAUCACCAUGGGCAUUAUUCUCCACAAAGAAGUAAUUGUACGGGGAAUAUACGUAAUCAACACUAGUUUGAACAUAAGAAUAUCCAAUUUAGAUUCCACAUCCAUACUAGUUUACUAUCUAACAACAUAUACUUUAAUUUUCACUUACAGUUUAUUAAAGUCAAAUUCCUUCAUCCUGCCUUUGCCAACUAUAUCAGAGCUAAAAUCUAUUGUGUCAUCUACUGCCAUGGACGACGACCUCCAGGAGAAAAGGAACUCCAGUCCAAAUUCAGCAUCUGUUGAUUUAUGACCAACAUAUCAGAUUGUCAUAUGACAUGGCCAGAAAUAUGUAUAUACAAUCUUCCUUUUAAAAUUAAGAACGCUUUGAUUUGAUUUUCGAGUAGAUACAAAGCAUGAUGCACUAAGAGAAAGGAGAAUCCCAGUGGCCCCGGAAUUUGCUAAAGAAAGGAAAGAACAAAAUUGGGAACCCCUUUGAGUUGGCUAUAGUACACAGCACCUCCUCUCUUUGUGAAGACAGCAUCUCUUUGUCAAAACAUUGCAGCUAUAACAUUCUUGCACUUAUCUCUUUUGCAGAAGCAUAUGUGAACUAGCCUUUAAGGGACCUCAGCCAGUCUAUUAAAGUUAAGAGCCCAAAAGUUGACAUAUAAACAGUUCAUACAGGAGCAGCACUUACUGAUACAACGUUGUCAGGGGGAGUGUCGCAAGCUUUAAAUUUAAGAUUGAGCGACCAAAAACAUAAACAUUUACAUGCCAUGGUCAUAUGUUUCUGAAGAUUCACUUCUCAUCAAUCCAUAAAUGCAAAUGUAAAGUAUCUUCGAUUUGACAGCAGUAAUUAAAUGGCCAUCUAACCACCCCGACAAUAGUGACGAUCAUUUCAAGAUUUCUUUGCCUUGAUUCAAGUGGGACAUUAGUCUCUCAUACUUCUAAUAAGAAAUGUCUGAAGAGGUUCAACUAUACUGCAAGGGGAUCCACUAUAGCUAUUGCAAAAGAUGAACAAUUGAUGUAUUGAACAGUUCAUAGAGGGGCAAAGCCGAGGGCUAAUCCAAUAUAAUCUAUGCCAAGCAAAGAGCAAAGAUGCUAAUUUAACAUGAGAAAUGAUAGCAUUGAGCUUUAGCAAUAAACUAAGGGCCGUUUUAUGACAGCCUGAAAAAACAUAGGUCCUAUCACAUUCAGAUCAUCCACUUUCCAGCACAAUUAAAUUCAAUUAAAAUGAAUGACUUGUAAAAAUAGAUAUCAGAACAGCUUCUUAUGAUGUCAUCUUUUCUUGGAAAAGAGAUGCUGUGAAAUAGCAUACUCUGUGUAAAAUGUGUGCCCUGAGUAGCGAAAAUUUACUGUCAUACCUCAGAAGUUCAGACUGUGAGCAGGAAAAUGCUGUAAGUCAUAGUGGUUUUGUCUACACAAGCGUUUACAUUACGGUGAAACUGCAAGGGACUAUAGACUUCCAGCAAUGGGCUUAUAGCAAUUCUGAAUAUAAAUUUACAUAUAAGCUUGUUUCAUAGGAAACUACACGACGCAGUUUUGGACGUCAAAUGCGCCAAUACCCAGAGACAUAUUCGAGAGUAAACAUAAUAAUUUAAAAUAUAGAAAUUUUCACUUUGCCCAACCUACAAAAUCAUAGAAGAUGCUCACGAAUGAACACGAUAAAGCAAACCAACACAGAUCACAAAGAGGGCAUUCCUAAAUCAAACUGACCCACUGUGAUGGAGGAUGGACGCGAAAUGAACGUGACAGUGAGAGAGAAGGCACGACAAAGCGAGAGUCCAUCGGAACUCUUCAUUUUGUAUCUCAUCACAUUCACCACCGCAAAACUUUGCGCCCUCACGAAUGACCUCUGUUUUUAACACUACGAAACAAGCAGCGAACACCAAUAUCUCAGAGCUGCGAGCAACGAAGAUGCAACGGAACUCCUAAGAAGCCUCAUAACCGAAGGACAUCGUUCGACAGAUUGAAAAAGCUCAAGAUCAAUGUGCAGGUCAACACAGAAUGAAUUACUAGACUGAGACAAGCAUAGGAUCCACGGGUACCUUACUUGCCAUUGUGACAGCAGGCGAGGUCGAGCGAGGCAGAGAGAGAUCACCUGCAUUCGAGUCGAGAAUUGAUGCUGAACUGAGACGAAACGUGAAUGGAAAUUGAGAUCACUUUUCCCGGACGAGAGAGGAGCGAACUGGUUUUCUGAGGCUUUGAAUGGCAACCGUAUAUAUAGAGUAGCUUCGAAUAAAUUUCCGACUUUGCCCUUCGGUGGGGGUCAUUUUUCACGAAGUUGCCCCCGAUAAUGCUCUAAUAUGUCUCAAAUAGGCCUCACGAUUAAGUCUUGCAUGGGCCUGGAUCCUUUUGAUCCAAACAAAUAUUGGUAGUAGCCACGUGGGCCCACAUUGGCCCCAACAUGAUCAACGGCCCUGACAGAAUUGAGACACGUGGACACGGGAGUAGGGAUCGGAGAAAGCCAAAAGGAAAACAACUUAAUCUACUUUUCUAAUUUUUAAAUAUUUAGCUCAUAUGACCAAACUAACAUUGUCUUCUUUGCCAAUGUAAUCGCAGUUUAAAUGAUAGGACUCUUACAAUUUCAGUGACCAAACUAACAUUGUCUUAUUUGCCAAUGUAAUCGAAGCUUAUAUGAUAGGACUCCCCUCUCCCCAAACAUGGAUUGAUUAAGAAUCAAGGGAUAAUCAAAGUUCUUAUCCUAAGCACCUUCACAAUUUAACACUUGAAAUCAUUGAAAGUAGUUUGAAUUAUGCAUAAAUGUAGUAUCUUGAAGGAUUGCUUCCAUUACAUGUAAAGUUGACAUUUAUCUUCUUAAUCUAGGGCCACAUAGCACAUCAUCCAACCAAUUGCAAGUUGACACGUGAUGUAAUAAAUAUUCAGAAACUACUAAAAUGCACAUGAUUAUGAAUUAAAUUAGCAAUGUAGACUGUAGAAAAUGCAUGAAAAAUAUAACUUGAAGAAGUAUUAUAGAAUCCAAACAGAUUUUGACUGUUGAUUACCUUGGAUCUGUACUUGGAAACCACAUGAUCAAAUGAUCUUGAUGGAUUCGAGAUAUGUAGACUUGCGUCUGGACAAGCAUUUAUCCUCAUGUUGAUAAAAUGUGUGUUGAGCUCGUCGAUUGCUAUUCAAGCCCAUCUCACACGCCUAUUGUCGCACCAAGAAGAGGGCACUUUUGUCUGAGAGUAACUUAAAGCUGGUUUGAGUAGGAAUUAAAAAAAUUCACAAGAAAAAUGUACGUCGUAUCAUUAUAUAAGGAGGAUUUGUUAAAAGUUGUGUUGUAUCACUAUUGGAACAAUGGUUUUAACGUCCCACUAAAGCAUUACCUAUUUGCUGAGCAAGCCCAUCACCGCGGCUUCAGUAGAUAUGACCAAGCCGACGAUUCACCUGAACCAAAGCUUGUCCUGCGUAGAGAGACUAACUAAAAAAAAAAGCUAAGUAAUUAUGUUUAUUUGAGGCUCUGGCGUAUACUUUGCUCCACAAAAUUGAAUGGGUUGUUUUUUUUUUUUUUUUUUUGGCCCCCUUUUUGGUCAUAGAAUGGGUUGGUCGUGCCUCUUGAAUUUUAUGUUGAAUGUCUUACAUUUGUUUUUCUCUGAUUAUUUUUACUACCUCGAAGUUAUUAUGUUUUUGCGAGCUUUAUGAAUAUUUUUAGCAAGCCAUACGUUCGGGUAGGUAAAGAAUGCAUAUAUGCGCGACAAACUUUUCUUCUAGUCAACAAGGAGUUGCGAACGUUUUUAGACGAGACUGGACGAGAAGGGGGGGCAAAGCCCUGCCCUCAUAAAACUACGCGUAGAAAUUGAUCAUGCAAAGGAAGAAGUAGAAGCAAUGAAGAUGAAUUUGAAGGAUAGGGAGCGCGAAAUGGUGGGAACUAGAGGAGACUGCUAACACCUUCACCACCAUUUAUUACUGCGGAAUGGAAAAUUUGCAACCGCAAAAGAGGAUGGACAUCGGUGCAGCAGCGAGUUCAACGGCAUCAACAUCCAUGGCAACAAUGACAAUAGCAUCCAAAAACGAAGGCUUUGAAAAAGUUGAUGAUGGGGGUUUACAUCUUUUGCCCAAAUGGUUUAAGAUUAAUCUGUUCUAAGUCGCACUUAGAUGCUUUCUUAGAAGGACAUGGAGGUUCAGGGAAGAUUCCCAGUAGCAUCUCCUACUUCAAAUGAAACGAAACAAAGAACUAAUUUUGUCCGAUACAAAGACAAAAAACAAGGAACAGCACUAGAAUCAACAGGUGGAGCUACGCCUAGACAUCAUUAAUGAAACAACGAACGACUAAUGAUCAAUUCUCCAAGUCAAUCAUGGUGUCUUAUCAGACGGUACAGACACAAAUUCCCUCCCCCUCAAGAAUAGAGGUGUUAAACGGGUGGAUCAGGUCGGGUUUGAAUCGGGUCAUUAAUGAGUCGAUCCAAAUUAACCCAUUAACCCAUUUAUGACCCAUUUAAGUUUAAUGUAAAUUUUCUGACCCAUACCCAAUCCGACUCAUACCCGACUUGACCCAUAUUAAUAAAAUAUUUUCAUUUUAACCAAAUUUAGAAAAACUUAUUCUUAUAUAUUUUUUAAGAUUAUAUUACUAAAAUAUUUCCAAGCUUAUUUCUUAUAUAUAUUAUUUUUAAAAAUGGUAUUGCUAAAAUAGUUUUAUACAACAAAAAUUUAAUGGACAAUUUUUAUAAUUUUUAAAAUAAUUAUUUUUAAAAAUAUAAUUUUAAUUAUUUUUUAUUUUUUUAAAAAUAAAUUUGUUAUUAUUUUAUUUAUAAAAUAUACUUUUUCUUUUUCUUUUUCUUUUUUCUUUUUCUGUGGCCGACCGUUGGCCACAAGCGAGUCUCGAGCUCGCUCAACGCCGGCGAGCUCGAGGCUCACCAGAUCGGCGAAGCUCGAGCCUCGCCCAACAACGGCGAGCUCGAGUCUUGCCAGAUUGGCAAGGCUCGAGCCUCGCCAGCGUCAGGUGAGCCCGAGCUCGCCCCUCACCGGAUCUGGUGAGGUUCGAGCCUCAUCGGACAUCGGUGAGGCCUUUGCCUUGCCAGAUAUGGCAAGCUCGAGGCUCGCCGGUGUCGGGUGAGCUUGAGCUCACCCCUUGCCAAGCGUCGGGGCCUCACCAGAUCUUGCGAGGGGCGAGCUUGAGGCUUGCCUAACCGGUCGCCGGCCAUCGCCAUGCCGGCGACUAGAGGAAGAAGAAAGAAAAAAAAAAAGGAAAGAAAAAAGAAAAAAUAAUUAUAAUGUCGGUUUUUAUAAAUAAAAAAAAAAUUGCAAAGUUAAAGAGAGAAGAGAAAGGUUGUGACUUGUGAGGUUUUGAGUGAAAAUAAAUGGAUUCAUUUUUAAUGGGUUGAUAAAUAGAUCUUAAAUGGAUCAGAGAGCUGACCCAUAUGAGUCUGACUCAUAUAUCUCAUUCUUGACCCAUAAAACCCAUUAUGGGUGCUUUAGGAAAUAAACCUUGACCCAUUAACGACCCAUUUAAACAUAAAUGGGUCCAUAAAUGGGUUAAUGACCCAUUUUGACACCGAAGCAUAAUCAUCUUGAUUCUCAGGCAGUAAAGAACAUAACGCAGAUCUCUGCUCGUCUUCUUCUGGUGGGCUUUACAUACGUUGCGGUUUGUGGAUGGCAGCAGAGAAUGAUCUCCAUGACUGAAAAACGGAGUCUGUUUCUCUAUUAUUCUUAUAUGCUUUGUUGGGACAUUCUUGUUGCAUUACUUGAAAUUGUAUAGGGUACUUGACCGGCUUUCACUGGUCCUGCGGCCGAUAACCAACGUUAGACAAAGAAUCCACUAACCGCCAUGUUCAUCCUUCUUCAUGUAAAAAAUCUUGUGAAAUAAGAUCAAAUCUUUGUAAAAAUUUGUAACCCAACUUUUCUUUUUGGUCGCACUUUUUGCUUGUCAUCUAGUCUUAUCUUAAAUUCUUGAUAUCACUUUUGCACGAAUUACUUAUUUCGUUCGGAGCAUUACCUAUUGUGUUCGCGUAAAUUAGCAAUAAGGACAAAACUGAUGAUAUUAACUGCAGCACAUUUUAUAUAUUCAAUUAUCAAUUAUCAUAACUUAUAAAUUAACUUGAUUAAUUGAGUAAUAUGUUGAGGAAAAAGCCAUUGCCCACGCAGCACAAUAUGAGUAAUUUCGGGCUUUUUGGUUAACCAAAAUUACUUUUUUGACCCUAAUACUCUUUGUUGGCAAUAUAGGGCUCGAAUGAUAACCAUUUGGCUAGAAAUUAAUUUCUAGAAGAGAAAUAGAUUUUUCUAUUUUUAUUCUUGGAUGAAUUUCCAAGCAAAAAUACGUGUUUAAUAAUGAUAUAAAAUUUCUAUUUCCAAAAUAGAAAUUCGCUUUAUAAAAAUACAAAAUUUCUUCCGCCUAAGUGGUGGUGGACAGCAGACAGAGGCAAAUGUCGGUCGACGACCAGUGGCAGCGGUUGGUGGUUAGCAGAUGAUAAUUGGUGGCUGGCGAUCGAUGGAUGAAGAGUGGUAGCAAACAACGACGACAGCAGUUGAUAGACAACGAUUGAGCAGACGAUAGACAACGGCCAGUAGUGAUGGAUGGGCUACUGGAUAGAAGUAAAGACGAACGAUAAGAAAAAAUUUUAUUUCUCAUUUUUGUUCUAGAAAUAGAGAAGUAAAAAAUUCUGAUUUCUGUUCCAAAUCUAAUUCUAGAGUUAAAAUUUAUUAUAAAAAUAGAAAAAUGAAAUAAUUUUAUCAAAUAGAUUUUUAUUUCAGAAACAUAUUCAGAAUAGAAAAAUAGUUUAGUAUUAGAAAUAUAAUAGUUAUCAUAUACUUUGCUUUUUCUUGCACUUUGCUUUUUGGUCUUCCGAGGAGUCAUCAUGAUUUCAACUUUUAGAAAAGAGGAGAGCCUCUGUUCUUCUUUUCAUACAUUGUGUUUGAUCAUUGACAUGGAUACUCGUUUAGCAAGUAAUUUUUUAAUAAGUUACUACAGUCUUCUCGAAAGUAUCAACUCGUAUUUACACUUCAAAAUUUACUAUAUGCUUUCAUAACCUACCAAGUUUAUCAAACUAGUGUUGAAAACGCUUAGAUUAAAAGCAAAUAAUUUUGAUAUCCAAACUAAUCGUCAUUGUGAUGGCACAGAUUGUUUUCUUCACUCUGUGCCCAGUGGUCGACCUCCAUUAUCAGAACCAGAGCCUCGUUCAGUUGAAACAACUUUGACAAUUGAAGCAUUUUCAUAGCUGAAAACACAUAGGACAUCGUUGAGAAGAUAUAUACCAGUCCAAAAAAAAGUGCACAAGUAAAAUAUCUAUGAAAGGAUGCAAGGGGGAUCAUCGAUCACCUCCAACGAGGUAUGGAACACAUUAUAACAAGAUAUUCAAACCAUGUUCAGACAUCACGCAACAUGCUCGGAAUAUCACGAAAUUAGAUAAAAGAGUGGUGUUCAAAUAAUGAUCCAGUUUCCUAAAGUAGUCCACCACAUUCGUUGUUUUAUCUCCGGCACCAUCAAGCACAUUGUGUGGGUUAGUUGCAUCGGGCGAUGGAUAUUUAAUUAGUAAAAGAAAUAUCAGUCGCUAUCUUUGAAAGUUGCAGAAUCCUAAUAGACUAAAAUUUCAACUCGACAACUAUCAAUGGGAAAGAAUGACCAUAAAAGUUCUAAAUCUAUUAUAAUUAUGCAAAUUCAAUCAUAAUUUUUUUAAUCAAUUAAGUCAUAAACAUUUUCCAAUUAUGCUAGUUUAGUCAAUCUGGCCAAAUUUUACUAGCUAAUGCUUACGUGAUAAUUUUUUAAUAUUUUUUAAAAAUUUUGUAUUAAUUUUUUUUUCCUUUUUCUCUUCUCCCUCCUUUGGCUUCAUUUCUUCGCAAUGGCUGGCGAGGCUCUAGUGAGGCUCACCGACCAUUGAGCAAGGGCUUAGCUUGCCAAUGCCUCAUAGGCCACUACAAGUAAAAGAAGCCAAAGAGGAAGAAGGGAAAAAGGAAAAUGAAAAAGUAAAAAAAUAAAAAUAAAUAAAUAAAUAAAUAAAAUUAAUAAAAAAAUCGAAAAAAAUACUAAAAAAAUGAUUUAAAAAUUUCCAUGUCAGUAUGGAUCGAAAUUGUCGGCUAGCAUCUACCUCAAUGGUGCCCAGCCAAAUUUGGUCGAAUUGACUCAAUUUGUAGAAUUAUAAAAUGUUUAUGAUUAAAUUGGCCUAAAAAAAAAAAUUAUGUCCAUCCAAACUUUUAGUCCAAUCUACUCAAUAAUCUUUUCAGAUCCAGUUUUUGUCGAUAUUCAACUUUGCUUUGAGGCUUCCAUUAUCGGCCUUCUCUUGUUGGAUUGACGUCCUCACCGAAUGUCCUUUUUUUUUUUUUUUUUUUGCUUUUAGCCCGCAAGUGAAAAUGUCCCUUUCUUGGAUUCUUAACAAAUGAUCCACUUAGCAAUCUUUGCAACUUUUUGAUAUAUAAUAUAUAACAGAUAUGUGCAUUUAAGGUCUUAAAACUUGUCACAAAAUUGUAAUUAAGUGCUGAAACUUUACAAAAAGUGCAGUCGAGUCUUAAAAUUUACUAAAUUGGUAUAAUCAAUAUUAAAGGCGUAAGUCAUAGUUCAAUGUUAAAUCCAAACUCAACAGAUGCUGAAUUUGGAAAGGAGUUCCUUACCUACCGAAAGUCGUUGUCUGUGGCAGAAGAUGACGCAGUGGAUUUUAGUUUUGAUACAGUUGGCAAAGGCAAGAUAAAGAAAUUCAACCUUGAUAGACUAUACAUGAACCUUAAAGUAUAGGUAGCUAGUUAAUAAGCCAGUAUGGAUGUGAAAUCUACAUUUAAUAUUAUAUCUUCAUACUUGUGUUGGUUACAUAUACUCACCGGGAGAAUUACCAAAAAAGUCAUAAACCUAUUGCAAUUGUGCCAAUUCAAUCCUAAACUUUUUUUUUGUCCAAUUAGUCCUAAACCUUUUAUAAUUGUGUAAAUUUAGUCCAUCCGGCCAAAAUUGGCCGGCCGACACUGACGUGGACGUCGGCGGGGGACAGCUGGCUGGCGAGGUAAUUUUUUAAUAUUUUUUAAUAUUUUUUUUUUCGAAUUUAUAUAUAUAUUUUUAAUUUUUUUUUUUUUUGCCUUCUUCUCCAUCCUCUGGCCGGACGCCGGCCAGAGGUGAGGGCCGGCGAGGUCAGCCUCGCCGGCCACUGGCAGAGGCGAGCCUCGCCCAGCGACGACGAGGCGGCCGUCGCCAGAUCUAGCGACGCUCAACCUCGCCAUGGUUGGGCGAGGCCGAGCCUCGCCAGCUCUGGCGACGGCCACCUCGCCGGCCACUGGUGAGGGCGAGGGUCGACCUCGCCUAGUGGCCGGCAAGGCUGCCGUCGCCAUCGCCACCUCCACCGCCUCCCCCGUCCCCCCGAUCGUCGGCACGAUCUCCCCCUCCGAGCUCAAGCGGCCCUCCCCGGCCGUGACCGUUGCCAAAACCCUGUUCCAACGCCUCUGGACCGACGAGGACGAGAUCGAGCUCCUCCGUGGGUUCCUCGACUACACCACACAGCGCGGCAGGGCCUUGCCCUUGCCAGUGGCCGGCGAGGGCCGAGCUCGUCGGAUCUGGCGAGGCCGCCGUCACCAGAUCUGGUGAGGCUCGGUCUCAGCCCAGCCAUGGCGAGGUCAAGCCUCGCUAGAUCUAGCAACGGCCGCCUCGCCGUCGCUGGGCGAGGCUCGCCUCCGCUGGGCGAGGCUCGCCUCCGCCAGUGGCCGGAGAGGUCAGCCUCGCCAGCCCUCACCUCUGGCCGGCGUCCGACCAGAGGAAGGAGAAGAAGGCCAAAAAAUAUAUAUAUUUAAAAUAUUUAAAAAUUCGAAAAAAAUAUUAAAGAUAUUAAAAAAUAUUUAAAAAAAUUACCUCGCCGGCCGGCUCCCCACCGGCGUCCACGUCAGUGCCGGCAGGCCAAUUUUGGCCGGAUGGACUGAAUUGGCACAAUUGCAAUAGAUUUAUGACUUUUUUUGGUAAUUCUCCCUAUAUUCACCCCUGUACAAUUACCUCUUUGUGUAAAAUAAUGUCCGUGGUGAUUAAGUGAGGCAUGCUUCACAUACUAUUCAACCACUUCAAAAAUCAUCAAAACGAUGGAUGAUGGUGAAGUUGCAUCAAAGCUUGUUACAAUCUCACUUUUAUGAGAGUGGGAUAUAUCUCUGCUUUCUGUCGAUUGAUUGUUAGAAAACCCUUUUCAGGGAUGUCGAUUUUAACCUGGACGCUGACUUUGACAAGUUUUUAUCUUUCAAAGUGGACAUGCGAGAUCUUGAUUUAUCCUGUCCAUCUAAGAAAUCUCCAAACAAGGAUAGAAGUGAAGUAGAAUCACCCGAUGAAGGAAAUUCCAAGAAAAUAUUUUAUUUGUGCUUUGAUUUUAACGAGUCAGACAGCUUCACAAUGUAUACAUUAGGGCUUAUUCUUUGAUACAUAAGGUUAUAUUUUCAUAAGGUUAUAUUUUCAAGUGAAGGGAAAUUUCAUGACUUGUGAUUUCAAUCUAGGAACUUAGCAAUCAUUUGUGCUAUCCAACUAAUUUCUCCACUUGUUCUUUAUCAUCAACAUCAUCAAGUAUAAUGACAACUUUCUUAUUGCAAAGUACUUGUUGAAUGCUCUUCAUUCUAGAAUCAAUUUCAUUAAUGGUCCUGGUUCUCGCAGGAUGGCUAAUUUUGGAUAAUAACCUUUUAUUGCAAGUCAACUAAGCCAUCCGUUUUCAAUGACUUCGCUCACAUGUCUUCAAGGAAACAACAAUACUUUCCAAAAUGAAAAGAGAGUUGGUUGAAAAUGACUUUGGCUAGAGUAGUUUUACGGAUACCACCCAUGCCAUAUAUUUUAAUGAGUCUCACACCAUUGGAGUCAAUGUCUAAUAAGUUGCUUACUGCUAGUAUUUGCUUGUCAAUUCCAACUAAAUGCUCAGUCACCAAUCUAUGUUUUGUCUUCAAUUUUUUCAGGACCACUUCAGCUACCAAUUCAAUUAGCUCCCCGUGGCUGUUGUGACCAUAGAAACCCAUCUUACCUGGUGAAAAAUGCAAAAUCGUGAUUACCAAGCAAGAAGUGAUGUUAUCCAAGCACUGAAUAAAAUACACAAUGAUCCGAUAAGUAACGGGACCUUAAUAAUCUAGAAGUGAUAUUCUAAAAUGUCGAUAAGAAGACCAUAGGAAAUAUGGGUCGUUGAGAAAGUGGCUGAAACUUGAACAAGGGAGUCAAGUAACUUUUCAUGACGAAGACCAUAAGCUCGAAUGCUAUUGGUCGAUGAGAAAGAGGGCCCGUCUUGAGAAAAUAAUUGUUCGGUGAAUAGGAAAAGAAAAACCAAAAUUGAUGAUGUGAAAUUUCAGCCAGAUUGGAUAUUCUUAGAAAAAUAUAGAAUUUUCUAUUUAUCUAUUUUUCUUUCUCAACUUCUUCUUUCCUUGUAACCACUGUUGAUAUAUAUUGGAUAUUUUUAGGAAAAUCUAAUUUUGUAAUACUCCAAGCAUGUUGCGUGAUGCCUCCGACAUGGCUUGAGUUUCUUCUUAUAAUGUGUUCCAUGCCUUUUUCAAGAUAUUCGAUGAUUCCUUGCAUCCUUCUGUAGAUGUUUUAUUCAUGCACCUUCUUGUGGACAAGCAUAUUUCUUCUCAACGAUGUCCUAUAUGUUUUUGGCUAUGAAAAUGCUUCAAUAGUCAAAGUUGUUUCAAUUGAAUGAGACUUUAGUUCUGAUUAAUGGAGGUCGACUAUUGGGCAUAGAGUGAACAAAAUGAUCCAGGCCAUCUUGGUGACGAUUAAUUUGGAUUUUAAAAUUAUUUGCUUUAAUUUAAGCAUUUUCGACAUUAGUUUGAUAAUAUUGGUAGGUUAUGGAAACAAUUCGUAAAUUUUGAAGUGCAAAUAGGAGUCGAUACUUUCUAAAAACUGUUAUAGUAACUUACUAAUAUAUUACUCGCUAAAUGAAUAUACAUGUCAAUGAUCAAACACCAUGUGUGAAAGGAAGGACAGUGGCUCUCUUCUUUUCUAAAAGUCAAAAUUAUGAUGAUGCCUUGGAAGACCAAGAGGCAAAGUGCUGGGAGUCGCUUAGAAAAAGCAUACUCCUAAAUGGCCGACAAAAAGGUAAAGUUGGUUACCAAAAAAGCCCAAAAUUACUCGGAUUGUGCUGCAUGGACAAUGGCUUUUUCCUGAACAUGUUACUCAAUUAUUCAAGUUAAUUAAUAAGUUAUGAUAAUUGAUAAUUGAAUAUACGAAACGUGCCGCAGUUGAUAUCAUGCUUUGAAAGGAGAACGUAAGUUUUCUUUUGAUUGCCAAUUUACACAAACACGACAGGUUAUAGUGAUAUAAUGAAUUUAGGAUAAGGUUAGCGUCCGACAAUAAUUAUGACAAAAAAGAAAAGUCAGUUGACAAAUUCUACCGAGAUCUGAUCUUAUUCCACGAGAUUUUUUUCACAUGAAGAAGGAUGAACAUAGCGGCUGAUGGAUUCAAAGUCUAAUAUUGGUUACAAGUCCCAGGACCGUGAAAGCCGCUCGAGUACCUAAUACAAUUUCAAGUAAUGAAACAAGAAUAUCCCAACAAAGCAUUGGAGGUCGUUCUCUGCCGCCAUCCACAACCCACAACAUACAUAAAGCACAUCAGAAGAAGACGAACAGAGUUCUGCAUUAUGUUCUUUACUGCAUGAUAAUCAAGAUGAUUAUUCUUCUUGAGGAAAGGGAAUUUGUGUCUGUAUCGUCCGAUAAGACAGCUUGCUUGUAAACAGAGAUUCACUGGGUACCUAGUCUUAAGCUAGAUUAGCAUCAGCCUGUGCAGCACUUUUGUAGCAAUUUUCAAAUGAAAACUUUCAUUCUUCAUCAGGAUAUCUUAGGACUGUCAACAUUUUCGCCCCCAUCUAUUUCUUCAUGUUGGAAACGUUAGAACUACGAAAAGAAAAUGGAAUUGGGCGUGGCCGUGGAGAACAACGGUUUCAAAAUCAAUGACGACAAUGAUGGCAGCAUCCAUGAAUGGAGGCUUUGCAAAAGAUGAUUGGGCUCUACCUACAUCUUUCUUGUGAUCUCAAUUUGUCUAAAAUCAAUCUGUUCUGAACAUGAAAACAUUUGUUUUGAGAACUUGUCUUCAGUAGUUGUUGAAAAAGGCAAUGUCACACUUUGAAGCUUUCUUGGAAGGAUAUUGCAGGGUUCAAGGAAGGUUCCCAGAAGCAUCUCCUUACUCAAAAGAAACAAAACAAGAACUGAUAUUGUACAUAAAACUGAGAUUUUCUUGUUUUUUUUUUUCGACAGGUAAAGUUACUUUUAUUUUUCCAAACAUGGGACCUGCAACUUGCAUGCGCAUUUGAAGAAGUAUUUAGCCACUAACUUUGGUUUUUUUAAUUAUCCGCCAAUAGCAUUCGAUCUAAUGGUCUUCCGUCGAAAAAAAAAAAAAAAAGAUCUUCUGUUUCAAUCAUUUUAUAGGUUCAGGGAAGGUUCCCAGAAGCAUCUCCUAAUUCAAAAGAAACAAAACAAGAACUGAUUUCAUACCUAAAACGGAGACUUUCUUGUUUUUUUUUUUUUUUUCCAACGGGUAAGAUACUUUUAUUAGCCCGAUAUAAGGAAAGGGUGGAUCAAAGAGAAUAAAUAAAAUAUUGUGUGCAAAAAAGCAAAGAAAAUAAAAAAACUAAUCAUACUUGAAAUGAGGUAAAUUAAUGCAUAAUGAAAGUUUAAUUCCUUGACUUCCACGUAUGUCAUGCCAUAAUCUCGUUCUUCCGAACUGUUGCACAUGGGGCCUGCAACUGCACGCGCGACAAGCCAGCUAGCUGUGACCGUCCUCAGAUGUAAACGUUCUCAGUUGGCUUUGGCUCCUGCUAAUGGGGCCUUCAACUGCAUUCACAAGUGUGUCGACCACAACUUUAGUUUUUAUUUUUAAUCAUCGACCAAUAGCAUUCGAUCUUAUGGUCUUCGUCGUAAAAAAUCGCUACAUCCUGUUUCCACCAUCUUUUCAUAGACCCAUAGAAUUCUCCUAUACCUACAUUAUUUGCUCAUAACGUGUUGACGCGGAAUAUUUUCUGUUUCCACCAUCUUUUCCUAGACCCAUAGAAUUCUCCUUACUACAUCAUUUGCUCUUAACGUGUUGACGCGGAAUAUUUCUCUACUGAAGAUCAUCGAGCGAGAGACGGAGAGAGGGAAAGAGAGGUCUGCUUAGCUGUGCAAAUUACUGCUAUGGCAAGCUCCAAUGCUAGAACAUCAUCGGGAAGCAAGUACCAAGUGUUCCUGAGUUUCAGAGGACCUGACACUCGGACUGGAUUUACCGAUGUCCUCUUUCAUAGUUUGACCGAUGCUGGAAUCCACGUGUUUCGAGAUGACGAAGAGCUCCGUGUCGGUGAAAGAAUCGAUGGAGCACUUCUGCAAGCGAUCAACAACUCCAGGAUCUAUAUGCCGGUCUUCUCUCGGAACUAUGCUUCGAGCCAAUGGUGUCUUUGUGAGCUCGCACAGAUCGUGGCAAACACCUCGAAAUCGGAAGGUAAUAAAGAGAUCCUACCUAUUUUCUUUGAUGUGGAACCUAACGAUGUUAAAUUGAAAACCCCACUAUAUCACAAUGCCAUACUCAAUUUGGAGCACAAGAAGAAGUUGAGCAACGAGCAAGUAAAUGUUUGGAGAGAGGCCCUCAUGGAGGUUGAUGCCAUAAAGGGGUGGGAGGUGAAGAAAUACAAAGGGUAAGCUAGCUAUUUUCAAGAUACUUGUUUCCCUAAUUUUCCUUAACACUUAAUAAUAGAUCUCAAAAUUCCAGAAUGAUUGAGGUGGGAUUUUUAUUAUAGUAAUACUAAAUGAUGAAUCUUUACGUCUACAAAACAAAAUAUGAAGACAUGAUAUUCAACUUCUACAGUUGUUGGUUGACAAUUGCACAAAUUUUUAUACAACAAUUUUGCUCGAAAAUCCCAAGAUUGCUACUCUCAUGUUGGAAUCAAGUUGAAUUUCGGGUCAUGACAUAGCAUCAACGUUGUCAAGGGCUUAAAAGUAUGUUUUGGAGAGACGUUAAUGUCCAAUAUGGACUUUUAGAAUAUCACUCCUAGGUUUAAGGUCCCAUUACUUAUCAGAUCAUUGUGUAGUUUAUCCAAUGCUUGAAUGACAUCACUUCUAGUUAGGUAAUCGUGAAUUUUCUCACUAAAAUGGAUUUUCAUUGUGGCAGCCACGGAGAACUAAUCAAAUUGGUAGUUGCGAAGGUUGUGGAAUGUUUGAAGUCAAAACAUAGAUUGGUGACUGAACAUUUAAUUGGAAUCGAUGAUCAAGUAGUAGCAGUAAGCAAAUUAUUAGAUGUCGAUUCCGAUGGUGUGCGACUUGUUAAAAUUUAUGGCAUGGGAGGUAUUGGAAAAACUACACUUGCCAAGGUCAUCUUCAACCGACUUUCUUCUCAUUUUGGAAAGUGUUGUUGUUUCCUUGAAGAUGUUCGAGAGAAGUCAUCAAGAACCGAUGGCUUAGUUCACUUGCAAGAAAGGUUACUAUCCGAAAUCGGUCAUCCUGUAGGAACAAAGAGCAUUGAUGAAAUUGAUUAUGGAAUUAAGAGGAUUGAAGAAAUACUUUGUAAUAAGAAAGUCCUUAUUGUACUCGAUGAUGUUGAUAACAACAAACAAGUGGAGAAAUUAGUUGGAAAUAUUACUUUAUAUUAUGGAUCCAAGAUAUUGAUUACAACUAGAAAUAAAGAUAUCUUGCAAGUCAAUAGACAAAAGUAUCAGAUUUUGGAUUAUGAAAUGGAGGUGAUGAGCGCUAGACAUGCGCUUGAGCUUUUCAGUAGGCAUGCAUUUAACACAGACUUUCCUUCAAAUGAUUAUGAUUAUCUUUCAAGGGAGAUUGUAUUUGCUACCGGGAGACUUCCAUUAGCUCUUGAGGUGAUUGGUUCGUUCCUCUACCACAAACCGCAAGAACUAUGGAAAGAGACAUUGCAUAAGUUAAGAAAAGCACCUCAUGAGGAUGUUUUUCAAAAGUUGAAGAUCAGCUAUGAUGCCUUAAAUUUCGAGCAACAACAAAUUUUUCUCGAUAUUGCAUGCUUUUUCAUCAAUAAAGAUAAGGCGAAUGCAUUCUACCUAUGGAAAGGUUGUGAGUUUUUCCCAAAUACAGGAGUUGCUGCUCUCAUUGACAUGUCUUUGGUAAAGAUUGUGGAGAAUGAUAAGUUUUGGAUGCACGAUCAACUUAGAGAUAUGGGAAGAAAAAUUGUUCUCCUAGAAAAUCCAAUAAAUCCCGAGGAGCGGAGUAGGAUAUGGAUUUGUGAGGAGGCUCUUAAUGCAAUAAGACCAAAGCAGGUAAAGCACUUAUGGAGAGAUCUAACUAGUUUUUCCCAUAGAUUCCACUCCAUUGUACCUUCUUGGGUUUUUUUUUUUUUUUAUAAUCCUUUGGCUCUAUGAGAUAGAAUACUGAUAUCACUCAUUUCCUAUUCUCAUUUGUAGAUAAACAAGAAAGUUCAAGCACUAUCUCUUUAUUCAUCUAGACAAAGUAUGUGUGAUGUCUUUGUUCGAAUUAAAUGGAUUGGAAGGUUGGAACAUCUAAGAUUCCUUAAAUUAUCUCACUUAGACCUUGUUGGAGAUGCAACAUAUUGCCUUCCCAAAUCAACAUGGAUUUCUUUGAGUUAUUUUCUGCAAAAAUGGACCAACACGUGCCUAAAGAAUUUAGUCGUUCUUGAAUUUGUCAAUGUUGCUUUCCUUGGUAAUUUGGAAUUCUCAAUCAAGGUGCGUAAUAUUCUUAUUCCUAUUUUAUUUUCUUGGAAAGUAAUAUUCGAUUGUUCAUCUAUUGAGUAUUGCUUUCAUUUUGACAGAUGGCAACAAAAUUGAAAGUUCUUUCUUUCAAAUAUUGUCCAGACAUAAUCAAAACACCUGACUUCUCUAGAUGCCCCAAUUUAGAGAAGCUUACUUUCAGAUGUUGUCACAAUUUGAGGAAAAUCAAUGGCUCUAUUGGGAAGUUGAAGUGUUUGAUUGAUUUGAGGAUUCAUUGCAAUUCUCUCAAACAUUUGCCUAAAGAAAUCGGGGACCUAGUGAAUCUGCAGUAUUUUGAUGUACAUUGCUAUAAAAUGAAGAAACUCCCGAAUUUCAUAUGGAAGUUGAAAUCAUUACGUGAGUUGCACUUUCGAGGUUGUACUUCUAAUGAUUUAGAUUAUGCAAAUUCAUGGACGAUACCUUUUGCUAUUGGAAUGCUCCAAAAUUUGGAAGUGCUUCAAGUCCAUAAUCACUCUUUACAAGGUCGACUUCCUUCUAGCAUUGGAAGUUUGUUCUUUCUAAGAAUCCUAAAUCUAUCAGAAACUUAUGUCAGUGAAGUUCCAAAGACCAUCAGCAUGCUUCCUCGGCUACAAAGAAUCGAGUUGAUGGGAUGCGACAAUAUUCAAGAGUUGCCGACCCUCCCAACAAGUUUAACCCAUCUAAAGGUGUCAUCUAAAUUGUUGCGGGUAGUCUCAGAUCUUUCAAACUUGACUAAUUUGGUUGAGUUGGUUCUAGGUGAUCAUGGAAUAGUAAGAGAUAAAUCUUGUGCCGAUGAGUUACAGUGGAUUGGGAAGUUAUCCAAACUGACCAAAUUAUGGUUCGGACUUCACAAUGUCCCUAUUCAUACUGAGAUGGCUUCCCUUCCUAUGCUAAACGAACUUUAUUUGGAUGGAUUCAACCUACAAACCUUUCCACAACUACCCUUAUCUCUGGAAAAGCUAAUGCUUAGAAAUUUCAAUUCAGUUGCAUUAGCCUAUCUGAACCCAAGAAAUUUGUUAUGUUUAGAGCUGUAUGAUUCUCCAUUGCAAGAACUACCACUUGAUGGGUCUCAACUUCCACAGCUAAAGAAGUUGCGUGUGGAAGGCUGGCAACGCCUCGAAAGGUUGAGGCUAUCAAGAAUGAGGAAGCUAAAUGUUGUCGAGGUGAUUUUUUGUGUAAAGUUAGUUAAGAUCCAACUUUCUUGGGUGUUCAAAUCAAUGGAGUUAUUGACUAUUGACAAUGGCGAGUCCUUAGAAAGGAUAGUUUAUAAGUCAGAUAAUGAAUUGCUUGGUUGUGGACGGAGGCUAAUUUUACCGCCGAGAGUCUUAAAAAAGUUGCGUUUUCUCAACCUGCGGGGGUGCCUUAAGAUAUUCAACGUUCAAGUUGUAGGUACGUUGGAAUUGUUGGAAGACUUUCGCAUUAACGGUUGUCUUUACUUGCAACAUCUCGGUGAUUUGUCAAACUUAAAGAACCUAAAGUCUUUAUCAAUCCGGGGCUGCAAGAGGCUACGGGAUGUUGAGGGCGUCGACGAGUUGGAGUUUCUGAACCGUUUAGCACUUAUUGAUUGCGGAUCGUUGGAAAGGUUGAUUGAUGUGUCAACCACCAAACUGCCAAAUGAUUGCCAUGUGUGGAUCAAAAGGUGCGGGAGAUUACCUGGGGUUAAGAAAGGAUUCAGCGGCUCCGUCCAGUCCUUCAAGCAUUAUAAGGCGAGUCUGGAUCAUUCUCUCUAUUUCUUUUUUAUAUAAUUUCUUGACGCAACCGUCCACGAACACCAAUUCAACUCUAAGGUAGAUAUGUAAUAAUGGUGAGAAAUUAAAAAAUAAACAAAAAUCAAUUAAUAUUUGAUCUCACUUAUUUUAAAACCCACUCGAUAUAAGUUUGUUUUAUUUUCAGCUCACGUUUUUUUUUUUUUUUUAGAUGAGAAAGUUCUGUUCUAUAUGUGCAGCAAAUCUAUGGGACAAGGUCAGCUUUUAUCAAAAGUCAUUGGAAAAAUUGCAAUUUUUAGCGAAAAAUAAAAUAAAAUAAUUUAGAGUAUCUCAUUAAAAUGUUCUUUUCACUUUAUAUGAAAUGAAUUGUUUAUUUAGCAAAUUUUUAUGCAAUACACUCCACUUUAUUGUCAUUUCUUACUUAAUACAAUUCAUUAUGGAGAUGAGUUUAGUGAUUUGCAAUUUCCACAAUGAAAAUAGAACACUAAAAGAAUCCUAUACUCAUUGCACAACUUCAAUAGAAUUUUCUGAGGGAAUUCUUUCAAGAACACAACUUAAAUGGUCCACGGAUCCACAAAUCGGCUGACUUAUGUUAUUGAUGGAGUUGAGCGUUAAUUGAAUUUGCAUGUGGAUGGGGUCGGCCAAUUAGGAUGCGUGUUCCACAAGCAUCUAAAUAUUUAUUAAGAUUUUUCAUUCUAAAAAAAAACAAUGAAAAUCUAAUUUUUGAAAGUCUGCAUCCUUCCCGGUUUUUGACCGUGUUUGUUAAUGGCCACUUUAAACAUCGUUCAGACAUUUAUUUUUUCAGUUGUGAGGAAUUUCGUUUCAUUUCAUCGACCGGCUUCCACUACGCUAGAUAGAGAAGGGGAAAAUGAGGAGGAAAUGCUUCGUCUACUAAAUUUAUAACUAACCCCGAUCUUAUUAUUAUUAUUGGGUAAAAACAUAUUGUUUUUUCUAUCUUAGGAGUUUAUAUCUAAGGCAGAUAAUGGGUCAGACCAAUAAAUGCCUUACUAAUGUCAUGGAUAUAGGUAGCAUACGAGUCAAAGACAGGGCAGAUGGCUGUGAUGUAAAAAUGUUUUUUUUUUAUUUGUCGGUGUGAUGCAAAAUUGUUUACAUUUGGUGAAAUGGAAAAUCGAACUCGUUUGAUAUGCAUAAUCCACAUGCACAAUUUCGUUCUAAUCCUACAUGAUUUACGACAUUUCCUUGUGCGAUAUUGUUUCCUCUUCUAUAUUGAUCCUUUCUCAUAUUUCAAUCUCAACAAAUACAGCCAAAACUUGUAUGUAUGACUUUCAUCAGUUUCUUUUGAGGAUUUUAAAGCAACUCCUAUCUAUUUGAUUGCAUUAUUUUAUUCAUGCCAUUCCUUUUUCGAAAGCUUUCUCCUAAAACUGGCUAUGAUUUUAUUUUUCAGGAAUCAGACUUUGAUUUGACAACAUGUUUCGGACGCUUGUGAAGUUUUGAAGGCAACCCGCACAAUAAUUGUUAGAAUGCAGGGAGGGAACUAGCAUAAUUUUUUAUCGGGGUCAUUGCACUGAAGAGUCCAAAGGUUUCUGAGAAUGAUUUCUAGUACCAGGACAUCAACUUAGGAUGCAGGUGUGACCUCAUCAUUUUCAAGCUAGAAAGAUGAUUUACCCUUGUGGCAGAAUUAAGAGAGUUGUCGUUCCUCACAUCAACAUUUCUUUGAAUCCUUAAAGGAUUCCUCGCUUGAAUUAGUUAUUUCAGGAUUGUCCCAUCUCUUUUCGAUUGGUCUUAGACAACUCAUUCAAAUUGCCCGUCUUGCAAGAAGAACUGCAAAAGUUUAGUACGGGCAGAUUAAGCAUAUGCAGAAUAAUGUUGUGUGAAAGGCCUCAUCCAAUAUAUGAAAUCUACUUGUUAGAGCUGGCAAUCUCUCCAAGACGGGAUAUGACAUAACAUGAACAUCAUCAUAUGUAGAACAGAAAUGGCAUGGCAUUGAUACAUCAUACUCUCUCAUUUCACGUGACCCAACAUGAAUAUGUCAGGCCACAGCACAUUGUGAGCCCUACUUCCAGGCUUGUAUCUUCUAAUAGCUAAUUUUGUCAUACAUAACCAGAACAAAGAUGUCACUAUCCUCUUUAGAGCAUAUUACGGUGAAUUUCAUAUAAGCUUUCGUGGCAAAUAAUAAUGGAAGACUUAGAAUUGAGAUACAAUUGCAAGUGAAAGUUCACAAUUUCAAUAGUUGAUAUGUAUAUCUAUUUUCUUGUAUAUAAAAUACAUCACCAAAAUAAUUAAUCACGGUAGACAGUAGUUGAUAUGUAUUGUUGGUUGAAACGUUCACGCAAGAUUGGCUGUGAUUUUAUUUCUUCAUGAGUCACGUUUUGAUCAGAUUUUGACAUGUUUUGGAGGCUUGUGCAAUUUUGAAGACGACUCUGAUGAUGAUUUUUAGCAUGCAGGGACGGACUAGCAUAUCAGUUUAGUGGGGCCAAUGCACUGAAGAGUCAAAGUUUCCAAGAAUGGUUUCAAAAACCGGGACAUCAAGUUUUGAUGCAGAUGAGAUCUCACCAGUUUCAAGCUCGAUAGAUGAAUUGCCCUUGCGGCUGAUUUAAGGGAAAUGCUGUUCUUCGCAUCAACAUUUCUGAUCCUUGAAUCCUUGUAAGAUUCGUCGCUGGAACUAGUUACUUCUGGAUCAUCGCAUAUAUUUUCGACUAGUUUUGACAACUCAUUCAAAUUGCCCGUCUUGCAUGAAGAGCUGCAAAAAUUUAGUACAAGCAGAUUAAGCAUAUGCAAUAUACUGUCGUCCAAAAGGUCUAAUCCAACAAAUGAAAAUUACUUGUUAGAUUUGGCAAUGUUUCUAAGACAGUGAUGAUACAACAUGAACAGUAUCAUACAUAGAACAUAUGUGACAUGACAUCGAUACAUCUUUUCUAUAACUAGGAGUUAUUUCAAUCUUAAAAGUAAAUAUUAUUUGAAGGACUAUCCCCCUCCCAUUUUAUGUGACUUAGAAGGUUCAACUCAAAGUUGAAUGAAUCAUGCUACAGCAGAUGGUGAACCCUACUUCCAGGCUUGUAGUCUUCCAUUAGAUAAUCCAAUCAUAUGUUACCAGUGACAAAGAUGUCAAUAUCCUUCUCAUAGCAUAUUAUGAUGAAUUUAAUAUGAGCUUUCUUGGCAAAUAAUAAUAGAAGACUUAGACUUGAGAUGCAACAGCAACAAAAUGAUGAGAGAACAUCAAAAGAUUUUUUUGCACAUAUCUACAUGGGUUGAUCAAAAUAGUAAUAUAAAGCAAUUAGGUGAGUCUCAAAUGUCUCAAUGGAAACUAUGAUAUACAGUCAAACAAAAAAUAUCUCAUUUUACCCUAGAUGUCCAUUCAAUAGCAGAACAAUGAUAACCAGUGCAACUUUUUAUGGGGAGGAGGUAAAAUCCUUCCCAUCAUUCCUUCUGAGGGGAGGGGGUGGCAGCGGGAAGAAGAUAACUUACACAUUACUAACUUGCUGUCAGCUACUGUUAAGUACAUGGGGAAAAAGAAAUUAGUAGAAUUUGAGCAAAAUUUCAUUCAAAUAUAAAGUUACAAUUUGAUUGGGUACAGAUGCCUAACCCCAGGUUGACAAGUGUUUUUCACACUAACAUGGCUUCCUGUCAAAGGAGAUUGACUUUUUGCGUGCUCCCUUGCAAGUGAAUUUAGAUCAACAAGUGACUUUCCCUCAACUUGAGAAUCUUUGGCUUUGUCUCCCAACCUAUUGAACAUUGCGUAAACCAUGUGAUGUUAUAAAGCACUCCAUAUCCAAUCAAAGAAACUGGAAUAAAAUAGAAAAUUUUCAUCCUUUCUCAUUUAGAUGCACAGAAGCAAGUCUUUUACUAAUAAUUUGAGUAAGCUUUCUCCUAGUGAUAGUUCUCGAGAACACUAACUCUUGAUUUCCUCUGAUCCAUCGAAUAAAUUUGAGUGGGUUUGUCCAAGCAUCCUACAGGAAAAGAAAGAGCACAAUGCAUGAGCUACAGGCUCUCUGCUUGGGACAUCAACAUAGUAGUAAAAGUGAACUAAGAAGUGCAAAAAUGUAAUGCUGAUCCACACAAUUUUCUACUCAAAUCUGGAAAUUAUCAUCAAAUGCAUCAAUAUGAUAGCCAAAACCCAAUGAAUGAGUGCAUCAAACUGAUGACCACAAGAACUUGCUGUGUUCCUGUCCUUGGAACAUUGAGCUACAGACGCAUAUUCUUCCUAAAUUCUGAUAAAAUCAACUAUCAAGUCCUUGUUUCUUAAAAAGAGACAUUAAUGACUCAUUGCUCUUAGUAAAUGGCAUAAACUUGCCAAUGUUAUCCUCUUAUAAGUUUUCUGUCCUCUCAUUCCACAAAUCACUUAAAGGUAAGGGAUAAAGUAGGGUCAACCUAAUGACAAACAUUUCACCGUCAUGCAUUACUUUACUCAUAUGAAGAUUUGUGGCAGAUUUGGCCUCUUCUAUAUCAGCCUUAGUAGUAUUCCAAGUAUCAAGAAAAGGUUUACUGCUUUAGUUUGCCUUGCCUUCUGUUCCUGGAACAUGUGACAUAGUUAAACCUUCUAAAUGUACGUUGCCACAAGAAUAUGUGGCUUCCCCUACCAUUUGUUCCUUGUUACUCUGCUCUUCAUAUAAAGCGGAAUUUAAACUUUUGAUGAUAGAAAAAUCCUUUCUUGGAAGCUCUGGAAUGGUACUUAAAUUUUGUAUCAGCCCUGGGCGGAACGUGAAACUUCUCUUGGUACUUUUCAUCUGAUGUACAACCUUGUUGAUUGGAUUCUUGAGCGCACGUGCUGUUUGUCCUAUCCAAAGAAGAUCGUUCUAGGAUUGAAUUUCUACAAGCUGCAGAUAAAGUUAGACAUAGAGUUGAAGUUACAGAAAUCUCUACCAAAACUUAUGAUGUUACUCACACAACGUGUUGAUUCAUCAUUAUCAAUGACAGCUUUAUCUUCACAGUCUGUAAUUGCCUCAGGAAGGAGACUUUUCGAGCCCUGGUGCUCAUUCAUCUCUGUAAAUCUCCCUUUGCUUCCUAUGACCUUCUUCCGACCUUGUUCUCCCUCAGUCAUGGAUGAAUCAAGAUUAGAGCCGUCCAACGUGGAUAGCACAAUGACUGCUAAGGUCCUAAAUGCAAACACGAGUCAUGAAAUUUGUUUCGAGUGUUUCCUUUUUUUUUUGGUAUGAUAUUGUUUCCUCUUAUAAAUAGAUCCUUUCUCAUACUUUAAUCUCAAAAAAUGCAGUUAAAACCUACAUAUAGGACUUUUAUCAGAUUUUUCAAGGAACUUAGAACAGCUUCUAUUUAUUUUCUUGUGCAUGGUAUUCAUUAACAAAUAGGUCAAACACUCUGGACACUAGUUGAUAUGUAUAACUAAUUGGUUUGACUGCAUAAUCUCAAUCAUUUCUUUCCUUUUCUGAAACUUUCAUGGAAGAUUGGUUGCGAUUUUGUUGUUCAGGAAUCACACUUUGAUUGGACCACAUGUUUUGGACGCUUGUGAAGUUUGGAAGACAAGUCUUGCAACAAUGCUUAGCUUGCAGGGAUCGAGCUAGCAUAUUUCUAAGAAUGAUUUCAAAUUCCAGGACAUCAAGUUAGGAGGCAGGUGAGACCUCAUUUUGAGAGAGUUACUAUUUUUCAACGACAUUUAAAAGAUUCUUUGCUUGAAUUAGUGACUUCAGGAUUGAUGCAAAUCUUUUUCGUUGGUUUUGACAACUCAUUCAGAUUGCCUGUCUUGCUUGGAGAACUGGAAAAGUUUAGUACAAGUAGAUUAAGCAUAUGCAGAAUAAUGUUGUGUCAAUGGACUUAUCCAAUAUACGAAUUCUACUUAUAAGUGAAGUACAUGGAAAAAAAAAGUGGUAGAAUUUGAACAAAAUCUCAUUUUGCUCUAAAAUUAUAAUUUGAUUGGGUACAGAUGCUUCACCUCGGUAGAGAAGUGGUGCUCACACUGAUAUGGCUUGUUGUCAAAGGAGAUUGACUAUUCGUGUGCUUCCUCACGAGAGAAUUUAGACCAACAAGCUUUCUCCAAGUUGAUGGCUCUUAAGAAGACCGACUCUUAAUUUCCUCUGAUCUCUUCAAAAACUUUGAGUGGGCUUGUCAAGGCUGUCUACAGGUAAAGAAGGAGGACGAUAUACAAGCUGCAGGCUUUCUUCUAAUAGCAUUCGAUGUAUCAAUAAAAGGUUUAUAGCUUUCAUUUGCCUUCUGUUCUUGGAAUAUGUGGCACAGUUGAACCUUCCGAGCCCUUACCAUAUCUUCCCUGUUACUCUGCUCUUCACCCAAAGUGGAAUUCAAACUUUUGACAAUAAACAAAUCAUUUCUCGGAAUCUCUGGAAUGGUACUUAAAUUUGUAUCAAACCUGGGCUGCACAUUUACUUCUCCUGGUUCUCUUUGAUCUGAUGAAUAACCUUGUUGAUCAGACUCCUGAUUACACAUGCCAUUUGACCUAUACAAAGAAGAUCGUUCUCGGAUUGGAUUUCUACAGGCUGUAGACUUUGGCACCCGAUCAAUUUUUUUUUUCUUGGGUUGGGCAUAGAAGUUAAAGUUACAGAAGUUUUCUCCCUGAAUCUCUGGUGUACCCACACAGUGUGUAGAUUGAACAUUGUCAAUGAUAGCAUUAUCCUCACAGUCUGCAAUUGCCUCGCCAAGGUGAGUUUUUGAGCCCUGGUGCUCAUUCAUCUCUAAAGAUCUCCCUUUGCUUCCUAUAACAUUCUUCCCACAUUGUUCUCACUCAGGCAUGGAUGAAUCAAAAUUAAAGCCAUCCAACGUGGGUAAUUUAAACAUCAGAAACUAUACCAUUAUGUUGUAGAAAAUAAAUUUAUUACUGUAUUAUGAGUCCUCCCAUCGCACUUGGAUCAUCCACUUUCCGGCACAAUGAAGCUCAAUUAAGAUGAAUGACAUGUAACAUGUACAUCAGAACAGCCACUUAUCAUGGUAUCAUUUUUUCUGAAGAGAGAUGCCAUGAAAUAGCAUUAUCUUUGAGCAAAAUCUGUGCCCUGAGUGGCGAAAAUCUCCAACUCAUACCUCAGAAAUCAAGACAAGAGCAGGUAAAUACUGUAAGUAAUAGCGAUUUUCUUUACAUAAGCGCUUACAUUGUGGUGAAACCGCAAGGAACCAUAGACUAUCAGUAAUAGGCUCACAACAAUUAUGAAGAUACAUAUUUAUAGGCUUGUUUCACGGGAAACUACACUUCCCAGUUUCUGAAGUCAAAUGCACCAGAAUACUCAGAUAAACAUUAUAAUUCAGAAAGAAAUCCUUCCCUGUGCCUAAUUUCUAAUGUCAAAGAAGAUGCUCCAAUGAACUCCAUAAAGCCAGUCAACCUCGAUCACAAAGGGGUUUCUGAAACCAAAUGAGCCAAUGAAACAUACAGCAAAAGCCAUUCGGAAACUCGACCCGCUCAUGAAUUACCUCUGUUUUACGCUAUGAAACAAAUAGCAAACACUGACAUUUCACAGUUACGAGCAACAAAAGUUCGCUAGAUCGAGACAAGCAUAGGAUCUCCAGAGAGCAAGGUCCAGCGCGGGAGAGAGAGAUGGACUGGGUCUGAAUAGAGAAGAGAGGAGUAAUCUGGUUCUUCUGAGGUUUAUGAAAGGUGACUAUAUAUAUAUAUAUAUACCUAAGUAAGUCCUUGAAAGAUUCAUCUUGGUAUUCGUUUGAAACUCGGCAUCACUGAAAUAUAAAACAACAAAAGAGUAUUCCUUCCAUUUGAGAUUGACAAAGAUACAAGGGGACUAGGGGGCGAAACGUACAAACACUGAUAUGUUCAAAUAAUGAACCGAUCUGUGGAGCCUACUGCUGUCCAACAGGCUGCAGAGGCUCUUCUAAGAGCUCAAGCUCCCUUCCUUUGACGAAGUUACCUCAUAAUCAAACACCAAUACGAUAAUAAAUAUUAGCUAUAUAUAUAAAACCUCAGAAGUCCUAUUUCACCCCUUCAAUGGAACCAUUUUCGCCAAAUUGCCCCGAAAUUGUUUAAUUUAUUUCAAAUAUUCCCCCCCUCCCCCCAAAACACAUGGGUAAGUUGGUAAUUUCAUAAAAAAUAAUAAUAACUUACCAACAAACCACCUAGAAAAAUCAUCCCGUCCUUUUCUUUUACCAACAAUUCUUUAAUGCUUUCAAAAAAAAAAUCAAAAUUAUCUAUAUAGGAAAAAUUAAAAAAUAAUAUCUUAUGGUACGGAAGUAUAGAAUCGUGGCUCCGUUCCCUCCUCCCCAUAUCAUUCAUUUGACUUUUAGGAUUUAUGGCAUGAAAUGCUCCACGUGUCACAUCCACCAAACUUAACACCCUUCAAAAUCCCAACCACACCUUUAUCUUUAAAAAAAAAAAAAGUUCCAUGGCAUCGACAUUGAUGCGGACCACCUAUAAAUUCUAAAUCCCCAACAAAUAAAGUCAUAACUCUCCCAAAAAUGAAACCCUAACCUUUCCGAAUUUCAUGUGCCAGAAACCAACCGAUCGACAAAAUGCAAGUCCAAAUCCAUGAAACCAAACUCAUCCAACCCGCUACACCACCACUUCCCGAUCAAGAACCGGUCCUCCCUCUCUCGCACCUCGACACCGAUCCUAAUCUCGACAUCACGUUCCGUUACCUCCGUGUGUAUGUAAAUGCCGACCAAACGAAGCGCGCCCACGAUACACCGUACCAUGUCAUUGCCAGAGCGCUCUCUGGUGCACUUUGUUACUACUACCCUCUAUGC
rnacentral:lncRNA from 1 species